rnacentral:lncRNA from 1 species
UUAAAUUAAAGGCAAUUAGAAAGAAGUCACACAAACAAACCGUAAACAUAAUGAUAAUUGUAACAAAAUUUUUCUACAGAAUUGAGCAACCAUACUCCCAAAUGGCUAUAAAUAGAAAACUGAAUCUAGAUUUCUUCACAACAGUUAGAUGCCAAAAAGAUUGCUAGUUUUUUUAAAAUAUGAAACAUUUUCCUCUCUUAACUAUCUCAUCUGUAAGUAUCAUAUCUGUCCAGCUCUUGACUCUUUGAUUUUCUGUAAAUUGGAUUUUAUCCUCUGUGCUCAGUCGGAGGCACAGAUUAUUAAAACAUAUAAUCAAUGGCUCUUCCGUUCUGUCAAAUAGUAAUCACCCACUGUCAAGAAGACAUGUUCUCCCAGCUUCACUUCCACUGCGGCCAAGUUCUCAAUGCAAUCAACCUUUAUCUGCAACACAACACAAAACCAGACUAGACAUUCAAUUGAGGCUGACCANNNNNNNNNNNNNNNNNNNNNNNNNNNNNNNNNNNNNNNNNNNNNNNNNNNNNNNNNNNNNNNNNNNNNNNNNNNNNNNNNNNNNNNNNNNNNNNNNNNNNNNNNNNNNNNNNNNNNNNNNNNNNNNNNNNNNNNNNNNNNNNNNNNNNNNNNNNNNNNNNNNNNNNNNNNNNNNNNNNNNNNNNNNNNNNNNNNNNNNNNNNNNNNNNNNNNNNNNNNNNNNNNNNNNNNNNNNNNNNNNNNNNNNNNNNNNNNNNNNNNNNNNNNNNNNNNNNNNNNNNNNNNNNNNNNNNNNNNNNNNNNNNNNNNNNNNNNNNNNNNNNNNNNNNNNNNNNNNNNNNNNNNNNNNNNNNNNNNNNNNNNNNNNNNNNNNNNNNNNNNNNNNNNNNNNNNNNNNNNNNNNNNNNNNNNNNNNNNNNNNNNNNNNNNNNNNNNNNNNNNNNNNNNNNNNNNNNNNNNNNNNNNNNNNNNNNNNNNNNNNNNNNNNNNNNNNNNNNNNNCCCUGAAUACUUUAGAUUAUUACAUUUCAGUUCGGUGCCACUAAUUUGAUAGGCGACACUAAUAAAAAUAUACCAUUUUAAUAAAUAAUCUUAUGGGCAUACCAUUUCAGUUAUUAAUUUUAUUUUUUGUAUUAUUUAGGUGAAAAAGCCAUUAGUUGAUGAUGUGAAUAUUUUUUUUGGACAUGUUAGAAUUAACUAAUGAGAGAGGUUAAUUAAACGUUAAAAUAUGCUUCAUUUUAACCCAAAUUAAAACAUAAAAAGUAGGUGCCAAAUACAAGGGAAUCAAAACAGUAGUUUAACCAAAAGAUUUGGGCGGCUAGAAGGAGGCAGAGCUUGGACUGUAGGCAAUUUUUUUCAAAGAAAACGGGGUUUUAAUUUGAUGGGAAGGGACUUGGCUUGAAUCUUUACGUUUUUAUCGCGCUUGGCCCAACUCCCUAUGAUUCUUCCACUUUAUCAUAACUUUGCAGCUGUCUGUCUCUUGUUUUCUUAAAUAUUUGACUAAAGAAUAUAGAGAUGUAUGAUGCUGUAUUAAAGGGACAAUUUUCACUUUGGAAACCUAUCCCCCUAUAUUUUCUAUCUACUUAUUAGGCUUUUGCUAGUCUUUGGAGCUGCCGAAGCGUCAAACUUCAAACAGCUAAACCCUAAAAUGAGUUGUAAACCCGGAUCCUCUUUUUAUCUUUUUGCCCAACUUAAUAAUAAAUAAUUAAAAAUUCUGAGACUGUACAUAGGUCAUAGAAUAAUUAGUCUUGCUCCUUAAUGUCGUGCUAUAGUCCAUAGCUCAAGGAACUGUGCAUGUCUAUAUGCUUAAUUGUCAUUUGUUCCAAGGGAAUGAUAUAUAUAAUUGGAAAGGUAAAUAUUAUUCCUAAUGUAUGAUAUGGUUACCUAAUCUAGAAUUGAUAUUAUUCCAUGAGAAGCAUUCAUUAAUUAGACCUGCUACUUGACUAUCAGCCUUACUUGAGUAUUUUUCUAAAGACAUGACCUUGAUAAUGUGCUGUCACUAACUAAAAGCAAACAGUGGCCCAUAAGCACAUGUCUAGAAAGUAAAUGGGAGAGAUUUCUAAAAUAAUUAAUCCACAACAUAUAACAUUUACAUGCAUAAAGCAUAUAUACUAUAGUUAGCAUUUAGCGAGGUGUAUCUUCCUGGAGCCACUCAAUCUCGUUAAAUAAAUUGAAGGACAUGUAAGCAAGUAGAAGGCAGUGGGUGGUAUACAGCAAUCACAUGAAAUAAAAUAUCGAGUGUCACAAUUCUCGUGGAACUGGGUAGACAGACUGGCUGAUUAGAGAGACAAUCUCCAGGAAUAUUUGAGUUCUUUCGGAUAGAUUAUUGGAUACUCAAAUCCACCAAUAUAUACAUUCAUGAUGGGAAUGAGAUUCCGUUCUGUCAUCUAUUUUUCUAAUAGAGAUAUUCAACCAAUGCCCAAUGUUUAAUGCUCAUAUGCCAUUAAUAUAUAGUCAAAAUCAUGUUUUAAACAAUUAUUUAUGCCGGGAAUUCAACCAUUACUUUAUUUGCUUAUAAAUAUAAUAUUCUCUUAUUUAUUCCCAAAACCUAUUAUUAUUUUAACAUAUAAUGUUAUUAGGGUAAUCAAAAUUCGGUUCGAUUUGAAAAUUUUAAAUUUUGAAUUAAAUAGUUCGAGUUAACUCGAAUAAAAAAGUUAAAAUUUUCGAUUUAACUUGAAUAUGAAUUAUACAAUUCGAAUUACUUUUUCUAUUAGUUAAAUAAUCGGUCCGUGUAGGUUUAAAAUUGGGUAUAAUAGGACUCGACGCAAAAUACUUGAUUUAAAAGAAAUAAUUACUAUUACUUAUGUAAUAAGGGGGAACCAAACGUGAUGUUAAUUCACCUUGGGCAUUAAUUUUCGAUGUUGUCUAUGUAGUGAGUCUACACAUUUUUUUAAAUUACUAGUAAAGGCUAGAGGGAAAGGUUGCAUUGUGACAGGCGGCGCCAAAGGAAUAUGUAAUGACCCAAAAUUCACAAGCACCGAAAAAGUACAUUAUCGGGCCUCCGUCUUAGUAAAUUGAGUUCGAAAAUAAUUAUUAGAAAUAUUUAUUAGACUAGUUGUGUGUUUAAUUAGGUAUUAAUUGGGUGAAUUUAGUUUAAUUAAGAGAAAUUAAGAAAAAAAAGGACUAAAUUGAUCUAGGGGUAAAAGUUGAAUUAUAGAUUAAUAAAAAAAGGAUUAAAAUGGCAAUUAAGCCAUUAAUAAGAAAUGGGACGGUAAAGUGAUAAAAAUAUUAGAUUUUUAUGCUUUAUAUAUAUUAUUUUAUUAUAUAUUAUAUAUUAUAUUAUAUUGUAUUGUAUUGUGUUAUAUUAUAUAAGUAAAAAAAAAAGAUGACAAAUGUAUGGUAAAUAUUGAAGACAUGUGUAAUAGUAAUAAUUACAUGGGUACACUUGUAAUAAAAAUAAAUAUGUGCUUAAUUAAUAAGUAAAAGAUUUUUUUUAAUAUAUUAUUAGUUAAAAUAAAAGAUAUAAAGUAAAAGAAAGAAAGAAACAAAGAAGAAAAGAAACAGAAUACCUAGAAAAGAAGCAGGGAAAGAGACGAAAACAGGGGAAGAAAAGGGAAAAGAAAAAUAAAAGGGAAAACUAAGGAUUUAAAGCUUCAAGUUAAUUGGUAAGCUAAAUUUAGCCCUUUCCUCUUCAUUUUGAUAUUUUAAAAGCUUUAAAACAAAAUUUUGUUGAAGUUAAGUGGAGGUUAUGGAAGUUCAUAGGUUUUUGAACAUGAUUCAUUUUGAACAAGUUGUUAAAUUAGGGGUUUAGUUGAUAGAAUUUUUAGUUAGAAUAGAUAAAAAGAAUGAUUUGUGAACUAAGUUGUAAGUUUUACAUAAUUGGGAUUAAGUUAUAAAAAGCCUUAAAUUAGGGUUUAUGUUGAAUAAAUGAUGGAAUUGAGGGUUUAUUUGAUAGAUUUUCUAGUUAGAGUUGAUAAAAGGAUUAAAUUGUGAACUAAACUAUAAGUUUUGAAUUUUAGGGAUUAAAUUGAGGAAAAUUCGAAAUUAGUGAAAAAUGCUGAAAAAUUAGUAGAUAAAUUUGGAUUUAGAAGGAAUUUGAAUAGAAAUAGAGUGUGAAUUAAGUUAGAAAAAUAAGUAAGCUUAGUUAGAAUUAAAUUGGGAAUAAGUAGGAAUUGAAUAAAAAUUUUAUUAUUAUUAUUAUUGUUAAUAUAAUUAUUAUUAUUAUUUUAAUGAUUAUAAUUAAAAGUGAAAAUAAUUAUUAUUUUCGUAGCUAACAAGGAAAACGAGGCAUCGACAUCUAAAGGAAAAGAAAAGAUCGUUGAGGAGUAAACGCGUAUUCCGGGUUUGUAUUACUAUAACUUAAUCUAUUUAAUAAAUGCUAUAUUGAAAUUGUAUUCAUGAGACAUUUAAAGGAAGUUAAGUAUUAACAUUUGAAAUUAAGUAAGAAUAUGUGUAUAUUGAAUUAUAUGUGAAUUGAAAUAAUAGAUGUUUUGUAUUGAUUGAAUAUUUGAAAUUGUUGUGGAAAUGAAUUCGAAAUAGGAAAAGUAAAAUAAUACCCUAUUAACUUAUCGGACUAGAUUGGAUACAAAUGGCAUGCCAUAGGAUUUGUGAUGUGAUGAGGAGAUUUGUAGUUCGGCCGAGAAGAUGACUAUGUUAUUAAAUGCUUCGGUUUAUCCGAAGAGGCAUUAAAUGCCUUAUUGGUGUGUUUAGGAGGUUAUGAUAUACUGGUGUGUUAUGGAGGAUUUAAAUUAUUUCGGGUGUGUUUAGGUUGGAUAUUUUGGUGUGUUUGGGUGGAAUCCGCGUAUCUGUCAGAGUCCGAGCCUUGUUAAUAGGGUAAAUAAUUGAAAUGGAAAUUUGAAAAUGAGAUUAGUUGAUUUGACACUAUUGAAAAAUAUGAGAAAGAAUGUAUGAUAUAAAUUAGGAAUUGAUUUAGUAUGUAAAUAUUUAAAUAUAUAAAUUUCAGAUUUAUGGAAUGAUAUAUGAAUAUUUAUAUUUAGUUUAAAGUGAUUUUUUUUAAAGACUAUGGUCAAUAUUUGAAAUUUUAUUAUUAUUAAAUAGUUUAAUUUAUAGUAAUACCACUGAGUAUAAAAUACUCAGCGUACAGUUGUUUCCGUGCGCAGGUUGAAAAGGGGUUAGUGUCUCGGUUCAGCAUCCAGGACAAUCCCGACUCCGACAUAAAGAUUUUGGUGAUGUUUUCUUCCUUUAAGAGAAAGUGGCAUGUACAUAGGAUUUAUAAUAGUUAUUUUGGCAUGUUAUAUAGUUUUGUUGUAAAGUAAGAUAUUAUGUGUUUUGAUGAUUAUAUUAGAAAAAUGGUAUAAGUUUUUUUUUAGCAUUGGUAUCAAGUUGAAAUGGCUUAGUUAGUUUUAUGUGUUAAUUAGAAAUGAUAAUAGGAUUUUAUUUACUUAAGUUGUUAUGUCUAUAUGUCAAGUAGGAUUAAGCAUAUAAAUGCCUUGGUUGAAAUACUGAAAUUGGGUUGGUUAUGUUUGAAAUUUUGCAAAGGGUUUAAUGUAAAAAUAAGUCGAAAUGCUGCCGAAUUUUUUUUUUUUAAAAAUGAAUGAAAUCAAUUAGUACAAAUUUAUAACAAUUUAUGAAGUAUUUUAAUAUGUUGGUUAUUUAUUUAGAAUUAUUUGUAAAUUGUUUGAUAUGUCUGGUAAUGCCUCGUAACCCUGUUCUGGCGACGGUUUGGGGUUAGGUGGUGUUACAGAAUAGGGGAGGGAACAAUUAGGCUAGACAUGGUGCAACUGUAGUAAUUGCAAAUGUGGACAUAGCCGGAGCUGCGUUUGCUGAUUCAUUACUUCCUAAUUCAGCUAUAUUUGUUCAGUAUGAUGUUAGCUUGGAAGAAGACAUUGCAAACUUGGUGGAUGUCACAAUUCUAUGUUAUGGACGGAUUGUUAUGUUUUUUAACUGUUAGAAUUAAGUAACUCGAAUCAUUAUUUAAAUAAAAUACAGUUGUAAAAUAAAAUAAAAGUAAAAUCCUAUAGAACAAAGUGUUUCAAUCUUACUACACUCCUAUUAGAAUAUGGUUUUACAAACUUAUAAAUAGACAUAAUCUACUCCUCUUGUAAUUAUUUCGAAUUCAACAUAGUGAAUUAUCUUCUUCUCUGCCUGUGAUUUUUUUCUCAAAAGGGUUUCCACGUAAAAAUCUGUGUUUUUUAUUUUAAUUUCUCUUUUCUUUGCGAUAUAUUGUCAUUACCGACAUUCUAAUUUCGUUGGCAUAGGACAUCUUCCAGAAUUGAAGAGAAAUUUAAUUUCGUUAAGUCAAAAAGGUACAAAUACACAGUUGAAAGUGAGGUUUUGAAGAUUUCCAAAGGUUCCUUUGUUGUGAUGAAAGGGCGGAGAAAGACUACCAAGUUAUAUGUCUUGCAUGGUUCUACUGUUACUGGUGAUGCAGCUGUCGCAUCCUCUUUCUUAUCAGAUGACGAUAUUACUAAACUUUGGCAUAUGCGCCUGGGGCAUAUGAGUGAGAAUGGCUUGACAGAAUUGAGUAAAAGAGGAUUUCUUGAUGGGCAAGGAAUUUGCAAGAUUAAGUUCUGUGAGCACUGCAUUUUUUGGGAAGUAAAAGAGAGUUCGAUUCACUAGAAGAAUCCAUAACACGAAGAGAACAUUAGAGUAUAUUCAUUCUGAUCUGUGGGGGCCAUCAAGAGUGCUUUCGAGUGGUGGAGCUAAUUAUAUGCUAACUUUUAUUGAUAAUUUUUUCAGAAAAAUUUGGGCGUUCUUCUUGAAGUAGAAGAGCGAUGUGUUUUUCGCAUUUAAGUCUUGGAAAACUAUGAUUGAAAAACAGACGGGAAAACAAAUAAAAUACCUCCACACAAACAAUGGCUUAGAGUUCUGUUCUGAUGAGUUUAAUAAACUGUGCAAGUUAGAAGGGAUCGUGAGACACUUAACAGUUUGUCAUACUCCACAGCAAAAUGGCGUUGUAGAAUGAAUAAACAGAACGGUCAUGGAGAAGGUUUGAUGUAUGUUGUCAAAUGCCAACUUACCAAAGUCAUUUUGGGUCGAAGCAGUCUCUAUUGCAUGUUUUUUAACCAACCGAUGCCAUUAAGAAAAAGACUCCACAAGAGGUAUGUUCUGGUAAUCCUGCUGACUAUUCUGAUUUAAAGAUCUUUAAGUGUCCUGCGUAUGGUCAUGUUGAUAAUGGAGAAUUGGAACCGAGAUCCAUUAAAUGUGUUUUUCUUGGUUAUAAAGCUGGUGUAAAAGGGUAUACGUUAUGGUGUCUUGAAAAUAGAAAAGUUAUGAUUAGCAGAGAUGUUGUUUUUUAUGAAACUGCUAUGCUAUCUAACUUAUCUCUUAAAGGCUAUUCCAAUAAAGAAAAUCAAAAGCAGGUGGAACAUCAGAUUAAUCCAGAAUCUACAACAUAGUUGACUCAUCAAGCCCAUACAAAAAUUCAGAAUAGAGUUGCUUCUUCACCACAAUACUCUAUUGCCAAAAACAGAAGUAGAAGAGAAAUUAAACCUCCAAAGAAAUAUGCCGAGGUUGAUCUAGUUGCUUAUUCUUUAAAUAUGGCUUAAAAUAUAGAUGCAAACCAAGAGCCAUCUAAUUAUUCUGAGGCGGUUAGUUGUGAAGACUCAGAAAAGUGGAUAUUUGCUAUGCAAUGGGAGAUGGAAUCACUCCACAAAAACAAAAUAUGAGAUCUUGUGAAACUUCCUAAAGGUAAAAAGGUUGUUCGUUGUAAAUAGGUGUUUAAAAAGAAAGAAGGGAUUCCAAGAAUUGAAGAACCCAGAUAUAAAGCAAGGCUUGUUGUAAAGGGUUAUAGUCAAAUUCCAAGAGUGGACUUCACAGAUGUGUUCUCCCCAGUUGUGAAGCAUAAUUCGAUUUGAGCUUUGCUUGGUAUUGUGGUCAUACAUGAUUUGGAGCUUGAGCAGUUAGAUGUAAAAAUUACAUUUUUGCAUGAAGAACUUGAGAAGGAUAUUUACAGGCAACAACCAGAGGGUUUUCAAUCUCAGAAAAAGAGGACUAUGUUUGCUUGCUAAAAAAGUCCCUUUACGGUUUGAAAUAGUCACCAAGACAGUGGUAUAAGAUGUUUGAUUCCUUUAUGACUUCUCAUGAUUUCAAAAGAAAUAGCUUUGACAGUUGUCUUUACUUUAAGAAAAACAGUGAUGGUUCUUUUGUGUAUCUACUCUUUAUGUUGAUGACAUGUUGAUAACAACGAAAGAUAAAGGAGAGAUAAGAAAAGUCAAAGCCCAACUAAGUGAAAAAUUUGAUAUGAAAGAUUUGGGACCAUCAAAGAAGAUACUUGGUAUAGAGAUUCUUAGAGAUAAAAAAAACAAGUAAAUUGUACCUAAGUCAGAAUGAGUACAUUGAGAAAGUUCUUUGCAGGUUCAAUAUGCAGAGUGCUAAGCCUGUUAGUACUCCUUUAGUAGCCCAUUUCAAACUUUCAUCGACUUUGUCUCCACAAUCAGAUGAUGAGAUUGAGUACAUGUCACAUGUUCCAUACUCUAGUGCAGUAGGAUCUCUCAUGUAUGCUAUGGUUUGUUCACGUCCAGAUUUAUCAUAUACAGUCAGUGCAGUUAGCAGAUACAUGGCGAAUCCCGGUAAAGAAAAUUGAAAAGCAGUUCAAUAGAUUUUAAGAUACUUACGAGGUACUACUGAUGUUUACUUACAGUUUGGAAGAACUAGAGAUUGAGUCAUUGGGUAUGUUGAUUUUGCUGGAGACCUUGAUAGAAGAAGAUCUCUUACAAGUUAUGUCUUUACAAUCAGAGAUUCUGCAAUCAGUUGGAAAGCCACUUUGCAAACUACAAUCGCUUUGUCUACCACUGAAGCUGAGUACAUGGCGAUUACUGAGGAUUGUAAAGAAGCUAUUUGGUUUAAGAGACUCUUUAGUGAACUCAAUGAAGACCUUCAAAUCAAUAGAGUAUUUUGUGACAGUCAGAGUGCCAUCUUCCUCACAAAAGAUUAAAUGUUUCAAGAGAGAACAAAAUACAUUGAUGUUCGGUAUCAUUUUGCUCGUGAAAUUAUUGCUCGUGGUGAUAUUAUUGUGAGCAAAAUUAGUACUCAUGAAAAUCCUACAGAUAUGAUGACUAAGUCACUUCCUAUAACCAAGUUUGAGCAUUGCUUAGACUUUAUUAGUGUUCAUUGUUAAAGUUAAACCCAUAAAGGGUUUUACGGAAGAGGUAGAGAACUUGUUCGUUGAGAGUUCGCGAUGAAGAAUUUGUUCAUUGAGAAUUCGUGUCAAGGUGGAGAUUGUUAAAAUUAAUUACCCGAAUCCUUAUUUAAAUAAAAUAAAGUGUUAAAAUAAAAUAAAAGUAAAAUACCUAUAGAACUACACUUCUUUUAUUUUAUUUUAGAAUAAGGUUUUUUAAACCUUAUUAAACUCCAUCUAUUUGAUAUUGAUUAGAAUAACUACACUCCUAUUAGAAUAUGAUUUUAGAAGCCUGUAAAUAGACAUAAUCUACUUCUCUUGUAAUUAUUUCGAAUUCGACAUAGUGAAUUAUCUUCUUCUCUGCCCGUGAUUUUUUUCCGAAAGGGUUUCCACGUAAAAAUCUGUGUUCUUUAUUUUUAUUUCUUUUUUCUUUGCGAUAUAUUGUCAUUACCAACAUACUAUUUUUACAUUAAUAAUGACGGGGUGGUAGAGAUGAUACGAAUCACAAGAGCAUUGUUGAUUUAGACGUGGAUGAAUUGAAGCGUGUUAUGCAAGUAAACGUGAGAGGUGUGGCACUAGGGAUUAAACAUGCGGCAAGAGUGAUGAUUCCCCAAGGUGGAGGAGGGUGCAUUAUUUCCAGGACUAGUGUUGCUCCACAUGCUUACACGGCAUCCAUGCACGCCAUUGUUGGGUUGACCACGGCUUGUGAAUUAGGGAGGUAUGGGAUUAGAGUGAAUAGCAUAUCUUCAUUGGUAUUCCAUGAAUUAAUAGAGCAAUGCAUGAAUUCUGGGAGUCCAGGUUCAGCAGACAUGGCAGCUCUAUACCUUGCUAGUGGCGAAGCCAAGUAUGUGAGUGGUCAUAAUCUUUUUUUGGAUGGAGGGUUUAGCAAUUAGCACAUCAACUAUUUGCCUUGGCAUUUAAUAAUAUUUUAAUCUCUGGGUGCAUUGUCUGUGCCUCGCUGUAACUCCAAAGUCAAAAGUGAGAUCUUGCUUGCUUUUGUUUUAUUAUAUAUGCAUGUGGUAAACACGCCUAUAAUGUGACUUUUUUUUUUGCAAUUAGUCGACGGUAGAUGGACAAAUUCAUUUAAUUUUCCUAAUUCCUCCACCUACCUUGCAUGCAUAAAACACUAGUACUCAUUCUUAUGCCAAAUUCAAUAUUUACAUCAUCUACAUUAUUGAUUAUUUUCGUUAAAGUAAAAAAACAUUGUAAAUAAUUACCAGUUAACUUUUUAUUAGAUUAAAUUGUUUGAUUAAAAAUUUUCAAUAAAAUCUUUAAGAAUUUGACCCAAAAAUACAUUAUGUAUAAAUAAAGUCAAAAAAAUUUAAAUUUUAGCGUUUGGAUAGUUAAUCCACAACGAAAGUCACGUGCACUUAAAAUCUGUAACUCGAUUUAGAAAUGUUAAAUAAUUAAAAUGAUUUUAUGUGGAGAAUUAUGAUCUUCAUUCUUCAAUCAAAGUUAGCCAACCCAUAUCAAAAUUAUUAAUUGCUCCUUCAACUCCCACACUUACUAUCAAUAUUUUUUCACGUCAAGCCUCAUUUCUUUACAUGUGAGGGCUUUAACAAAAAACUUUACUUAUUAAAGACUUAAUUGAUAUGAGUCCUUAAAAGAAUGAAGAAUACAAAAGCCACUACACUACACUACAAGGACGGUUGAUGAAUUAACCAACAAAUAAUAUAGGGAUUUGAAAGGUGAAAUAUGGGGGUGGCUACACUUGAGUCCAAAUCUAAACAAUUUACUAGUUGGAUUGUGCUAUUCAUAAAAAACCUUGCAAGCAUUAGGCAUUACCCGGCCCAUAUAAAGUAGGUAUGCCUCAUAGCUGAGCCAGAGCUCAGUCUGGCUUUUAAUUCUUUAUAGAGGUAGAGAGGGAGGGCGUAGCUUCAGCCACAGCGGCUCUGCUUAAUUAAUUAAGUAAUUAAAAGAGCAGUAAAUGGAUUUGAUUUGAUGUGUCCACCGCUACUAACGCGUGUCACCUUACAUGCCAUCGCUUCUGACUCAACAUUACUUAUUACUCACCAAUUUCAUAUUACCAUCCCAUUCAAUUGAACCUCAAAGUAGAACUUGUUCAAGCAAGCCCCUCAUGCGAAGAAGGUCUCGUACAAGAAAGACCGGUCAAGGCGGCGUCAUCAACAUGGAUGAAGCCAGGAGGGAAGUUGCCCAUGCCUUGCAUCUCCAUAGGUCCACUCCCACAUCACCAUUACCAUCUUCUGGUGUAGGUAAUCCCUCCUACUACAGCUAUGCUAAGUCAUGUUGUUACUCUUUGGUGGAGGCUAUGCCCCCUCCUGAACCAAUAUGGUCAACUACUGCACCUUCACUGCCUGCUACACCACCUCCAGACUUGGAAACAGUGCAGAUUUUAGAGUGGGGUGAAAAUCAGGCUGCUUCUUACGCUUGGUGGUUAGGUUUUCUUAGGGCAUUAGAUGGUAACAACAACAUUAUGUCCAAAACAAAGGAUCCACCUUUUGUUGAUAAUGCUGUGAGCCUGAAGGAUCAUUCUCCACUACUGUUGGGGCAGUAUGAAGCUGGGGAAUGGGGCCUAACUGAUCAAAACGCAUGUUUAGAUGAAUGGCUCAUGUUUCCACCUACCCAAGAUAGUUUGUGAGAUGAAACAAAUAUAUUAUAUUUCUGAUUAAAUUAAGUAGCUGAUGCUCCCACUUUCAUGUUGCUUUUUGCUGCUACAUCCCUUCAAAUUUCUAUCUCGCUCAGAUUUUAAAUACUGUUACUGUUUUUUAAUUUAAUUAUAUAUAUAUAUAUUUACACUAUCUUGAAAGAAACGGAGGAAAUUGAAUCGAAUAAAAAUGUAAGUUUAAUAAUUGUGAUUAAUUAAAAUCAAAUUGAAUUCUUUAUUUAAUAUAUAAUUAAUUUUAUUUUUUACAAUACGAAAUAAAUAUUUUAUAUUUAAAAUAGUAAAAUAAGUAAAAAUUUCUUGAAAAUUAUUAUAUUUUAAAAAUAUUUGUGAAAGUGACCUCGUCAAAUGAUAUUCAAAAGCUGACAAAAUAAAAUCUAUUUUAUUAAAAUAAAUCUAAAAAAUAAAAAUAAAAAUAAAAAAUAAUAUAAAAAAUCGAAAGUUAAACCGAAUCAAAGAAACUAAUGUUUAACAUAAACUUGGGAAAUUUACAAAAAAAGAAUACUAAAUACUAAAAUAAUAUAGAUUUAUUUUUAUUUACUCAAAUGAUAAAAAUAUAUUUAAAAAAAUGAAAAAUAAAAGAUUAUAAAAAAUAAAAACUUUAAAAUUUGUUUUUUUAAAUUAAAAAAAUUAAAAUUUCAUGUUAAAAGAUUCUGUGAAAGGUAAAAGAUUGGUUGACUCACUGAUUUCUAAUCCGACCGGUCCAAUUCAGUUUUAAAGGGUAUGGACCAAAUUGAUAGAAGAAUAUUGUAAAUGUUUAAUAUUUAAAAAAUUUAAAAUCUGGUUGACCUAUGAACUAGUACGGAUUGAUUAAUCUCGAGUUUAAAAAAAAUCAUUUGAUCUACCAAUUGAAUCGAUUUUUAUAAUUUUAUAAUUUAUUUGCUUUGAACCGCUCAGGUCAAUCAUUCUCGAAACCAGUCAUUCUCGAAACCAAUUGGUUAGAUCAAUUUGAAAUUGGUUCAAUCGAUAAAAAUAAAAAUAAAACCACAAACUUCUUUCUACUUUAUUUAUUUUUCUAUCCUUUUUCAUUUUUCUACUUUUAAUUCCAUUAGUUAUUACAAACAGCUUUCUCUUUGUCUCUUUCCCUACAUUUUCACCUACAUCCAAGCUUUCUAUCUUUCCCUUUUUCUUUUUUUUUCUCUUUGUGCCUCCAUCCAACUAAAUAUACGAUGCUUAGCUACAAUAAAUUAUAGAUGAAAGUUUCUUAGUAAUAAGACAAAACUAUCAAAUUCGGUCCUCAACUCUUGGGUUUUGGAUUUUUCAUACACUUUUUACUGUUUCAAAACAACAGAAAUAAGGACCAACCUUAGUAAGCCAUUAAUUCAUUUUCAAAUACAAACCAUGCUUGAAAUCUACUCAGCUUAGAGCAACAAAACCAGUAAGUUCUGAUUCAUCAUCCACUAGACCUAGAAUUGCUUGUUCAUUUAUCUUUUCCAUGGGUUGGGGCCUAUUAAUUAAUUAGAGCUUCAUGAAUCUGGACUGAUGAGUGGUAGACCAAGAUGCGUGGUCCUCAUCUUUAUUACUAUACAAGAAACUGAAAUGAAUUUGAACAAGUACUCAAUCAUUAGUCCAGCUCCAUCAUAAUAUAUACCUAACAUAUCCUUCAACCAGACUGCAAUUAGAUACUACUACCACAUAUGUCUUUGCAGGCUCCUGGGCCCAUCUCUCAUUAAUGCUACUCAUCAGGUUUUUAUUCAUGCAUCUAGAUCUUGUGGAACUGAUUUAUAAAUAGGUAUUUGGCAUUCAUCAACACAAGUCCAUUCGGUUACAACAUCAAUACCAAUACCUUUUUAUUAUUCUUUUGAAAACACUAUUAAGUAAAAUAAUCAAGGAAAAGAGAGCACCACUAAAUUCAGAGCCAAUACUUUCUUUUCAUACACCUUUGCCUACUGCUCCACUUCUCGAUUGAUGCCAUUAACAUCGGACAGAACUCAUAUUAGGUGGCACAGUAUCAUAAACUAUACAAUUUUCUUGGAAUAAAGUCUCUUACUCGGUGAGUAACUCUAUUAGCACUCCGACGGAUCCAGUGAAAGUAAAUGUGUUGGAAAGAGGACACAAGCCAGUAAUCAAACCAACCUUAGGGCUAAGUAAAGUAUUCGAUUGUAAAGCAGUAAUCACCUCAAUGCAGUCAAAUUCCACAACUAUAUUAUUGAAACAGCAAGUUUUAAGCCACCAAAGGGCCUCGCGGAUACCCAACACUUUGGCGAUUGCUGCUUGACAUGCUGCCAUUAGCUGCCUCGACAUCCCUAAUGAACACCCCAAGCGAAUCACGAAGCACAGCCCCAUUUCUCGCCCUCAGACCAAUGGCGCUCCAUGUCGCAUCAACGUUACAUUUAAGCACUAGCCGAGGGUCAACUCCAUGCAACAACAGUGAAACUAGGCUACGACAUAACAACGGGUAACAAACGUUGGUACACCGUUUGUGAAGCUGCCCAAUUAUUGAUAAAAUGCGCAAUAAAGGCAACAAUGAUCUUCUGUAAUUUGAAACGUUAAAUUAGGCUCUUUUGAACACUUUAUUAGUUUGCUCUCAAACAAUUUACGAAUCUUUUCUAUGUUAUUUUAUUUUUAGUUUUUAGUAUUAAUGACUGUUUUUCUUUCAUUUCAAUCCUUUUGAGACCCAAAUAGACAAAAUUUUGCCAUUGGGAGUCUAAUGGUGUAUUUGAAUUUGUGUAGGGACACAUUUAUGGCCAAACCAUGAGGAAAACUGCAACUAAUGUGGGUGUUGUGACACCAACCCUUUAUCACCUCAAGGGAGCAAAACUUCAACCAGAAAUCAACUUGGAGUAGUCUACCACGGAUGUCGCAACACUAAGUGUGCUGUGUCACAACACCGAGCCUGAGGUCUCAACUCCAAGCUUUCGAGGUCGCGGCUCCACUGCUGAUGGUUGAAGUGAAGGAUCCAGGGCCACUGUUUAGGGUGUUGCGACACCAGAUAGCCUGUGUUGCGACAUUGAGAACCCCCAAAGCCAAGAUUGUACUAUUGUCAAGAGUGUUGCGACACUGAUGUCUCACGAGGUGAAAAAUACUACAAGAGCAAUUUUAUGUCCACCAACUCAAGUCAAUUCAUGCACUCCAAAGACACUUUUGUCAAAAUAUUAGAGUUAUAACUUGGUGUCUUAAAGGCACACUUGAUGCCAAACAUAAAGGAGCCACAUUUAUCAUCUUUUUAGUUUUCCCUUUUUCUUUUCUUUCACCAUUUUUAGGUUUUGAGUUCUUUCUUUUCUUACCUUAGUUAAUUGGUAGCUGUUAGUUUUUUUAGUUUUACUGUAACUUUAACUUUCUUGCAAUUAGAUACAAAAACUCAUACUGUUAUUUUGAUUUCUCUUUAAAAGCAUCCAAUAGAUUUAAACUUUGUGAACUUUCAAAAAUGUAAAAAUCUCAACUUUGACUAUGCUUUCAUCAUUGUUAGAAUUAAGUGACACGAAUCUUUAUUUAAAUAAAAUACAGUGGUAAAAUAAAAUAAAAGUAAAAUCCAUAUAGAACUACAUGGAAAAACCCAAUUUUUAGGCUUUUUGAGCAUUCUAAAGUCUAUAAAUAUCAAUUAGAAGAGAACUUAAGGGUAUAGACAGAAAGACUGAAGAAAAUACUCGAAGAACGCCAUCAGAAUCAUCUCAGAAGCAGAUCUCCUUCAAGAUUGAAGAUCUCCAUUUAAUUUCUUUAGAAGUUUUAUUGAGUUUCUUUAUGUAUUGUUGUUAUCUUAACUUUGAGAUGUUUCUAUUUAGGAUGAUGAACUAAAUUCCCUAGAUACCUAGGGAAGAUGAAACCUAUGAUGAAUCUUAUUAUUUGAUUUCUAAGUUACAUGAUAAAUACUUGAUUCUUGUUCUCAAUUAUGUAUGCUUUUUUCAUAUUUUAGUAUUUUCAGGAUAUUAAUUCAUGUUUAAUGUACUUAAUUAGUGGAGAAAAAGUCUUUGUUUAAGAGUAGAUCUAGCAUAAUUAAGUGGAAUUGCAUGUAAUCCUAGAAAUAGGAUGACAUAAAUCUACCGGAUUAGAGUCAAAUCUAAUAGGGGAAUCCAUAGAUCAAGUUAAUGCGACAAUAAGAGUUUUAAUUAGAAAGAGAUUUCAAUUAAUUAACCUAGAGUUAGUUGUUCUUACUCUCGAAAGAGAUAUAUGAUUUAGGGAUUUCUACGGAUCAAUGCAUAAGCGAAUAAAUCGUUUAAUUCAGAUUCAUAAUAAUAAGUGGAGUCUAGGUGGAUUCUUUCCUGGGUAUUGUCUCUCUCAUUGGUACCGUCGAUUAUUUUCCUAUUUUAUUCUCUGUUGCGUUUUUAGUUAAAUUAGUUUAGUAAUUUUAGAAUAAAAACAAUCACUUCAAUUUAUAGGCUAAAUGAUAGAAAAAACGGUAAUUACUUGUACUUUUAGUCCUCGUGGAUACGAUAUUCCUACUCCCCAUAACUAUACUAUUGUUCGAUAGGUGCGCUUACCUUAGUUGUAUUUAUAGUUAGUUUAGUGAUCAUCAGAAGUGCAUAAAAAAAUAGAUAUGUGAAAUAUGAUAUUGUGAUGAAAUGUUUUUUUAAAGUAUUAUGUGAUAGUGAAUUUGAAUAAAGGGUGAAACUAGCAUGAUAUUGUAACAAUUAUUGAAUUUUUAUAAUGUUAAGGAUUAAAUCAUAAGAUAUUCAGAAAUGACUGUAAGUAUUAAAACUGUUGAAAAGAAUUACUCAAGUGAAGUGUUACAUGGAAGAGAAUUCAUUUAAAGUGUCUAAGUAUUGGAUAUUGAAUUUUGUGGCAAAAAAGGACUAAAUUGAAAACUAUGUGAAAGUUUUACGUGUUAUUAUUUGAUAAGUGAAAAUGAUGUACAGAGUACGAAACAUAUGAUGUAUUAUGGACCAAGAAUUUAGUGAAUAAAAUCUCGUGAUUAUUGUAAUUAAAAUUUACAAUUAAACUUUAAAUCAUGAAAAUGAGGACUAAAUUGAAGAAGUAUAAAAGUGUAGCUAAAUUAUGAAAAUCAUGAAAUAAAUACUAGUAUGAAUAAAGAUUGUGGUUAUUCAUCAAAUUGGAGUGUAAAGGAAAUACUAUUGAAAAUUUUAAUGUUUGAAUUUAUAUGUUCAUGGAAUGUUAAAAUAGUAAAUUAGAGCAAAAAAAAGUGUGAAAGUGUAAUAAAAUUGUGAAAAUCGUGGAACGAAGUAUUUGUGGUUGAUGUAAAUUUAGUAAUAUUCAAAUGCCCAUGUAAACUAGUGUUGAUCUUCAUGGAUAUAGUUGACAUGCCAUAGGAUCUCGAACACUCCCGUGUUAUUCGUGAUAUCAUACUUCAGUGCCUCCUAUUUUGUUAAUGCACUUAGGUGCUCGUGUUUCUAGCACUUAUGUGGUCCAUGUAUUGUAAUAUGUUCCAUGUAUCCAUAUCAUUCAUACGUGUCUAGCAUGGGUUAGUAAGUCGUGCUAAGUAUUUUUUAUAAAAGUUCUUGUUAAAUCGUAAAAUGAUAAAUUAAUGAAUUAAAAUGUUAGUGAAAUUUGUAAUUAUUGAAGAACUUACUGAUUAUUAUGAUAUAUUCAUGAAUAAUAAUAUUACCAUUGUUAAUGUUAAAUAAAUUAAAGCUAUGGUAAGAUUUGUUUUCAUAGGUACUUACUAAGCUAUUAUAGCUUUAUGCGUUAUUAUUUAACGCAUAAGUGAAAGAUCAGACUGAAACCUUUGAUAGAAGAUCGUCAUCAACAUCUCAUCACAUCUCCAAGGCUUGAAAGAGAGUAUGGAAUUAAUAUUUUGGGUUUUAGAUUAUGGCAUGUACAUAGCUUUAAUAAUGAAGUAAGUAGAGAGUGUUUAGUUGUUUUAAUAUUCGAGUUAAUGGUGUUUUGAAUUGAAAAUACAAUGUAUUAUAUAGUAUAUAAGUUUUGUUUACUGUGUUGGAUUGAUGGUGGACAAUUUUGAUAUAAUUCGAAAGUUUUUGAAAACAAAAUUUUCAAGUCUCCUGUCCUAGUCUCGAGACAUACAAAAGUGUCUCAAGACACAAGAACUUCGAAGCUAAAAAGCUACAAUAUCAUGGUCAUGUCUCGAGACAUACACUCAUUUGUCUCGAGAUAAGAUAACUUCGAAACUAAAGUUUUACAGUAACAAGACACUAUCCCGAGACAUUCAAGCCCUUGUCUCGAGACAUAUAGACCUAAAACUGAAAAUUUUUAGUUGAGCCAAAAGAGAUCCGAAACAAGUUUGAAAUGGAAUUAAACGUUAUUGUUAGCCUAAUUAAGUUCUAAAAAGGGUAAUGUGACCUUAAUAAAGGUCCAAAUAAAUAUAGAAAGGAAUGUUAAGUGCUAAAUUUAACAUUCAUUACUCUUGAUUAAUAAUAAUUCUUAAAUAAUAUGGCGUACGUGCUACAGUCAACCCUCUCUAUAACAGCUUCAUUUGUUUGCCUAAAUUUUGCCUAUUAUAGAGAGGUGACUAUUCUACACCUAUAAUAGCAUGUUGUUAUAGAGAGAUAAUCGUUAUAAGAUUACAAUAGAAUUCAUAUUGUGAAUUUCUAUCAAUAAAGAAAGUGUGAAUUAUGUUAAAAGAAGAAGAAGAAGAAAGAAAGUAGGAAUAGGUGCAUGCAUUAUUGCUUUUAUGCAUAUUUUAUUUUGCAUUCUUUCACAUGAGUAAUUAUAAAGUUCAUAAAUUUAACAAAUUCAAUUAAUUAAUUAAUUUAUCAUGAGAUACUAAAUUCAAGUAAUUAAUUUAUAAGUGUAUGAUGUUCCAAAUUCAUAGUAGAAUAUUUAAUUAGAGAACUUAAUAGUUUCUUGAACUAAUAUCUUUAAUUCCACUCAUUGAAUAUUAUUUUCAUUUAAUAAAUGAUAAUUAAUAGGCUUGCUUACAUGAAAUAACUAUAAUUUCACUUAAAAUUUUAGAGUAUAUGUUGUUGUAGAGAACUAAUUUAAUAAACAACAUACUCCAUAACUAUAGAUAUUACUAUUAUAGAAGGUUAAAAUAAAAUAUAAAAAAUCGGUUCUAGAAACUUGACUAUUAUAGCGGGUGACUGUUAUAGAGAGGGUUGAUUGUAUCUUUAUAGAAGAAUUCUAAAAAGUUCAAUUUCUUGAUUUAUCACUUAAUUAAUUUAAUUCAAUUUAAAAUGGAUAAUAAUGUGGUAUGGUUUUAGUUGGUGUACAAAUACACACUUAGAUUAUUCUAACUUGUGGAUGUCAUUUAGCCGUAAGUCCCUUAUAACCCUAAAAUUUGGUACAAUUGGUCUGUUUAUGGGAAUUCGAAAUAGUGAACAAUCAUCUAUCCAGAAAAACAAUUACAGGCUAACCAAUAUGCAAAAUCCGUAGAUGAUAGGCACCCCUCGCCUACUGAGAUUUGUGAAGUCCCUCAACCUGGAUUUAGUUUGUGGAUGAGACGAAAGAUUUGGAAGAGUAACAAUCUAUCUCCUACCUGCUACACUAUUGUCAAUUGGUUGUUUGAGACAGAGAAGGUGCCAAUAAUACAACAGCUAUUCAAUCAUGGCCAUUAAUUCAUCAACCAAGGUUCCCACUUCCCACUUCAAUACUGCACACGAGGGGGAGGUUGGAUCCAACUGGUGCUCAUAAAUUUAUGCAUGACCACGUACAUAUUGUCACUGUCUAUCUCUAAUCUCAUUCAAAUAUUCCAUGGAUUUAACUAAUUGUCAACAUUGGUCGUUCAAAAUGCAAUAUUAUUGCAGAAGCUUCGUGUCGGUAUGGUCUAAUCUGACACUAGUUUAUGCCACUUUUGAUACUUUGGUUAAAAGGUGUAGAUGACAAAUUCAACAUUUUAAGACCCUCAAAUUUGAUUUUCUAUCAAUUCAUCUGCUGCUUAAUUUUUUUUCGUAUCAGCUUGAAAAUGGGUGUUAAAUUACGAAGCAAAGCCAUUUACGAACUGUCUGUUAAUGGUGAAUUAUAUAUAUGAAAAGAGCCAUCAAAAUUAACUGUACAUGCACUGCAUGCGAGCUGAAGGUGAUGGCGUGACUGCCGCCAACCUGGCGCCUUUUCAGCCUAUUUUAACUACGAGGAUAAUGACUGAAAGGGAUAUCUCAUCUCCCUCGCUCUCAAGUCUCAACUACUCUCAGCCCAUUUUCAUUUCAAAGCUUGGCCAAAAAUCACGGUCUAAUUACUUGUUGCGAGUCGGGAUUUAUACUCAAUUUUGCAGAUGGAUAUGUAAUUAGUAGAGUAAAUUAAACAAUUGUCACCAGUCCAUCAUAUUUCUAGGAAUUAACACACCAAUAAAGGAGAUGCCAAAUACAUAUAUGAUAUUCAAUCAAGACAUGUUUUUUCUUUUGCAAAUUAAUUAAACAAUUGUCACCAACCCAUCAUAUUUCUAGGAAUUAACACACCAAUAAAGGAGAUGGCAAAUACAUAUAUGAUAUUCAAUCAAGACAGGUUUUUUCUUUUGCAAAUUUAGUAAUUACCUGAAGAAACCAAACAUCAAAGAACAAAACACAUAGAAAAACAGAAGGAAUAUAAGAGAUACUCUCGGUUGCAUCCAAAAGACGCCGUCUUUCAUUGGGUGCAGCCAAAUCCUAAUGCAAGACCAACUUAAGCCUCGUCUUAAGGCUAAAUUCUAAAAUGGAACGUCAACAAUUAAGCAAGGUCACAAACUAAUUUCUUCCUGCUCUCAAUACACUAAAGUUCGAAUUUAGCAGAUUUAUAGCUAUCUACGACAGCUACUAACUACAAAAUUUGAACCCUGCAUCAUUUGUUCCCAGGAAGUGAAUUAAUUUCUUUAUUAAGAAUGUGUCAUUUUAUCAUUUAGAUAGAUCGAUUGCCAUGUCAUUCGUAGCAAGGGACCCAUUUUUGCUAUAAAAAGCCUGCACUUUAGGACUUAUUCCAUACUCAAAAUUUAUUUCUAAUUCCUUGCUAGCUUUACAAUAUCCUCUCUUGUAAUUCCUAAUUUGAGCUUUGCCAGCUCACUCUCUUUUUUUGUUUUUCAUUUGCAAACCAGAUAAUGGAAUCCAAAAAGAAUGAAGCUAGGGUCUCAAACCCAGAAAUGCAAAAUAAGGCAAUUGUGGAUACACUUUAUAAAGCAUUGGCACAUGGUGACACCAGCACCGUUGUCAAACUUCUAACAACUGACCUGGAAUGGUGGUUCCAUGGGCCUCCUCGGUGCCACCAUAUGAUGCGGAUGCUCACCGGGGAGUCCAGCCACAGCGAGUUUAGGUUCGAGCCAAGGAGCAUCGAGGUGGUUGGUGAUUGCGUGAUUGCAGAGGGUUGGGAAGGAGCACAAGUGUAUUGGGUACAUGUAUGGACAUUGAAAGACGGUUUAAUUACCCAAUUUAGGGAGUACUUUAAUACAUGGCUGACUGUGAGGGAUGUGAAGCCGCCUCGCUGGGAAAUCGGGAGCGACAACCACACUCUGUGGCAGAGCCAGCCUAGGGACUUGGCACGCCGCUCAUUGCCUGGCCUUUUGCUAGCCAUAUAGGAAGCUAGUUAUGCAUGGCUUGGGAGUGGGACAUUGCAUGGAAAUGGUCAAAAUGGAAUUGCAUUAAGCAUAUCUAUAAUAUAUAUGUGAACUGUAAAUUAUGUAACCAUGUUUUGCAUGCAAGCAAGCUUUUGUUUGAUAUGUAUCUCAUUGGGUUUUAGUUCUAAUGUAUUCGGGUCUUUGUAGCUCCCUUUCCUUUGAUUAUAACGAUUUACAUAAUGAAUGAAAUUGCAUCUUCGAAAAUAAAAGUAACCAUGUUUUGCAUAUGAGCAAGCUCUCAAUUAUUGAAAAAGAAGGCACCACUUUGUUAUUUAUUUUUGCUUAAUGGAACUUUUUCAGAAAAAUUAAAAUAAAAGCUUCUGAAGUUACUUUUUUACUCUCCAAAAAGUUCUUUUGACGUCUAAAACACUUCUAAAAGGGCUUUUGAAGUGAAACCAAAAAACAGAUUAUAAGGUGCUUCUUAAAGAAGUGCUGCCGUCUGUAUGAAACAUGCUGGAAAAAUAAAAUGAAAAUAGAGACCAAAGGCUGCCGCCCUCGCCUGGGCCUGGGCAGUAAGAAGUUAAGGUAAUUCAUAGUCCCUUACCUGGCAUUUGGAAUUUGUUGAUCAGGAUAUUAUGGGAUCUUUUAUGCUAUCGAAAAAAGAAAAACGAUGAAGAACUAAAAGUGGAUAACUGUUGCUUCUUAGAGAUAGAUAUAUAACUAAAACGAUUCUAGCAUCUCUUUCUAGGCUUUUAUUUUUGGAACACAUGUUGAUUUCCUCUUCCUGCAUGUUAUAAAUUAAAACAGCAGACUCAUGCAGAUCAUGACCGUAGCUGCUACUUGUAAUAUCUGUGUGGACUAGAGGUGAAAAGUGCAAAGUUCAGCAAUAAGGAUUGCUGGUUCUAUAUAAAAGUGGAAGCUACACUUGAGAAAAAUGUACAUAGAUUGCAUUGAUAACCGAUCUACUAGUAUCUAGCGAUAUGGGGACUACGAGACUCAUCAGAGUACAAAAUGGGAAAUGAAAAAAGAAAGUUAAUUUUGACAAUUGUUUCCUCCCGCCAAAUGUUUGUACAUAGUAAUUGCAUUAUUCCUUCACUAAAUUACACUACACUACAAUAGUAACCGUAUUAGCCUUCUCUAAUUUGGGAAAAGACUCCACGAUAGUUUUUCAAGAGUCUAUUUGUGUCAGACUAAAAUUUUAAUCCCGUUAGUAAGUAUCAGAAUAUUUGAAGAUACGGUUGAGAUAACGAAAGGAGGAGAUAAAGUAGCAGAUCAAGAAAUUUUGUGUUUGUUUUGAAAAGUCAAGUGACCAAUAUUGAGGAAUUCAUGGAUGAUGUGAAGGAAACACUCAAGGUAAUAAAAGGACACACCGCUAAGUUAGAGUCAAUGAGAGAGCAACUCAGGGAUUAUGUGAUGGAGACUCUUAGUUUCAAUUGGGAUGCAAUGAGAGAGACUCUCAAUGUGAUCAGACCGAGAAGCUGACUAAGAAAAAUUAUGCUCUCAAGAAAAAUUGAGGUCAUGAUAUAAAAAAUUUAAGAAGAAAACUGAGAAUGCUGCCUUGGAUGGUCGUGGCUUUGAAGAAGAAAACUGAGGUCAUGAUGUCAAAAUUUUAAGAGCUUCAGAGAGAGCUCGUUGUAUGCAGAGUUCAGAGUGAAUGAGGUCCGCAAGAGAUGUAGACAAUUUUCUCUAGGAACGGAACAAUACUUCUGUGCGAUGGGGAUAAUACUUCUGUUUGAUGGGGAUCAAAGAUGAUGCUACUAAGAUAAAUUGUUGUAGUUUAUUUUACUAAUGUCGCUAUCUUAUGGACAUCGUACGUCCACAAAUGAGACCGAGGUGAGACUGCGAUCGGAACUUAGAGGAUUUCCAAAAGCAAUUCAAAAAGCAAUUUUAUCGUCAAUAUGUCAAGGAGGAGACUCAGGCUAAUUUGCAUUAGCUUACGCAAUAAUAUACUGUUUAGGAGUAUAUCAAAGUCUUUAGUGAAUUGGUAUUUCAAAGAUCUUAUUUAAGUAAAAUAGAAGCAUACUAUUGAUUUAAGCAUGAGUUAUAUUUGUGGGCAAAAUAAGAAUUGCGCUGACAAAGCAUCACUGAACUUACUGUAGUCAUGACCGAGAAGCAUCAAAGUCAUUCUAAAUUUAGGUUUGAGCCGAGGAGCAUCAAGGUCAUAGAUGAUUGCAGAGGGUUGGGAACGAGCACGAGUGCAUUGGAUACAUGUAUUGACUUUAAAAGACGAUUUAAUAUGAAUAUAAAUGUUCCCGAAGCAAAGCCUAUAGGUGUUACAAGCAAAAACACAAAAGAAACUCGAACAAACAGAUAAGCGACACUAAUGUCGUCCAAAAAGGCAUACAAAAGCCAUCUCUAAACAGGUGCAUACUAAAAUUUCCUCUGUUCAGAUCUUUUUACAAAAGAAAAUAUUUUCUCUAAUGGUUUACUUUGUUGGCUGGUAUAAUUAGCUCUAUCAUUAAGUAUAUAGGAUCCUCUGAUUCAAUGUCGAUUUAUGAGUUACUUUCAUACUCCUUCGCAGGACUGACAAUGGAAUAUACUUCUGCUAUUGUUGCAGCAGCUACCACAAAUGAAGAGGCAGAUCCCAUCCUCAGGCAUUUGGAACCAUUCCGAAGGUAACUCUACCAGGACUUCUGAUAAUUCUACUGCAUUUCCAUUUGAAACCAAUUUUAUCACCCAAAUGGUGGCGAAUCAGAAUAUUGAAAGUUAUGAAUGGAUACAAUAUUACUGCUGCUGCUCUCUUAAUACCCCUUCAUCAGAUUUGGUUUGGUGCACAACUCACCAGAAUCUUGUUUUCUCCGACCCACUCCCAUCUUUUCAUUUUCACGAUUAGAUGGUAUUUUUUCUAACUCAACCAGACAAAAUGUAAAAAUUAUAAUCACUUGUCAAAAGAGAAUGGCCACAUAUCAACCCAGGUGUUUACUUUACAGCUGCCAUAUUCCAUCUAAUACAUGUUUGGUUUCAGAUAACAAACCAAGAUAAGCAAUUGCAAAAAAAUACAUUACAUAAGAUGUUCAGACUUGAAGAAUUAAUCCUGAAAGGAAAAAAGAAAUUAGCAAAGCUAAACUCCUUAGUCCAAACCUGAGGUUCAUUUAUACUCCACUUGUUAUCUGCUGUAUGCUCUUCCUGGACAGGAACAUUACUUUUUUCAAUGAGGUAAGGGUUCUACAAUCCCCAGCUACUGGUAAGGAAAUGGAACUUACUACUAGGAGUCUGGGAGAGGGCCAUUUUCUUCCACUUAAUCUUUUGUUUACUUCUCUGUUUCUUUGUUUUAAAGUCAAAAGAUACCUGUACCAGAACCAACUAUGAACCACUAAGAAUUUUGUUUUGCUCGUCUCUCUUUGCGUCUACUGCAAGUCUUUCUCACUCUCACCCUUCUUUAAGGAACAAAAGUGAAAGGUCUAAGAAAUGGUCUUUGAUUCCGAAAACACAAGGUUGAUAGACCUCUCUAACUUGCAGCAUUAUUCAAAGUGGAUUUACCAAAUGAAAUUUGGGUCUGGAUUCAGAGCUAAGAAGAAGUGCUUCCCAAACCCUAGCCCCGGGAGAAAUACUCCUUUCAACCAUUUUCCCAAGCAAUUCCCGUGCCUUGCAGACUAAUCCUCUUUGGCAUAGGCCACAGAUUACCUCAUCAAAUGUCAAACUCUUGAUGAAAAUACACUUGUGCAACACUUCCUCCACCAAGGCACAUGCUUCAAGAAUUUCACCAUUACUUACCAAACCAUCAAUUAUUAUCGUAUAUGAAACCCAAUUCAUUUCAAUGCCCUUAUAUUUCAUCUCUUUAACAAGCUCCCUAGCUCUACUUAUCUCACCAGCCUUAGAAAUUGUCCUCAAUAACGUAUUAUAAAUGAGAACAUUAGGUUUGCACCCUAACUCCUCCAUACAGGCUACCAUCUUGAUACCCUCUUCAACUUUAUUUUGCUUGCAUAAAGCGUCUAUAUAGGCUUUAUAAGUAUAAACAUUCGGAACCAAACCCAACAUAAGCAAUUCAUCAAACAGCUCAUCUGCCAAUAUGUAAUCUCCUUCAGCAGUUACCCCAUUUAAGACCAUAGUGUAAGAUAUAAUACCGGGCAUUAUUCCAUCGGAUUUCAUUUGAUUUAGAACAUCCCAAGCAUCCAAGCCUCUCCCUUUUUUCACCAAAAACCUAACCACGCCAUCAUAGUCACCCAUGGCGGGAGAAAACCCAAGCUUUCGCAAUCCCCUCCAAAAACCAAUAACGUCUUCACCAUCCAAAUCACCCUCAGCACAAACUGAUGACAGCACAAAAGAGAAAACUUUAUCAUUGACACCAAGUCCAUCGUCUAACAUACGUUGUAGAAUCUCUAUAGCAUAAGCAACCUUGUUCAUUCUACAAAGAGUGCAAACUAGUAGACGGAAAGUAGAUUCUUCGAGCCUUAUGUUCAUAUGCAGACUGUUUAAGAGAACCUGAGGGAGUAGCUUAAGGCCACGUUGACUUCUACAAAGAAGUGCGAGUAAAGCAUUGAGAGAAUAAGCUGAAGGGAAGCACCUGAAUUGGGGUAUUCGGUAGAAAAUAUCAACCGCGUCCUGGAUUCUAUUAGCUUUGCCAUAGAAUUUGACGAGGUGGGUAAAAAUGUACUCGGGUGUUUGAAAGUGUUGGAGUUGGAGGUGAUGGAGCAGGGAAGGAAUGUAGUGGAAUUGUCUAUUAUGGAGCAAGGUUUUGAUGAGAAAAUGAUAGGCUUGAGGGGAUUGGUGAAGGUUGUAGAGGCUAAGAGACUGUAAGAGAGAGGGGACAAAGUCAGGUUGAAGAGGGUUAUGCCGGGCAACGAGUUGUUUGAAGGAUACCAUGGGUUGAUUUUGGGUGAAAGCUUGGCGCCAUUUAGUUUUGUGAGAGGAAAUAAGCGGCCAUUUUCGGUGCUUCCUUAGGAAAAAGUUGGGAGAUCUCCUCGCCAUCUCCACUCCCACAAUAGAAGUAUUCUUCAACUCAUUUUGGGGAGUAGAUAACUGAAUUUACGGAUUAGGAUGCAUCGUAGAGUUGCGGGAAAAACAAUGAAGCCGACAGGGGGUGCCGCUGUUUUCGAAUCAAAGAAAUAGCCAGCAAAACCAAAAGCUCCUUUUCUUCUGGGCUUUUCUUUCCCUUUCUUUGUGGAUUUGAGGCUUCGGCACCGAAAUUCAUUAUUCAGAAACGCAUUCAUGGUACUGGCCCAAUAUUGUAUUGUCCAAUUUUUUUUUGGAUAAGAUAUAAUUUUAUUAUCCAAGAAGCAGUUAAAACUGCUACGAUCAAAACAAUGGCAUCCUAUUCCUAUCCGACACCAUAUAGUGUGAAAGCAAUACAGCUUCAUCACCUAGCCUCAGUAUACACCAAUCGCUACAAAGUUGAGCAUUCACAUUGUGAUUUCUAUUAAACGAAUACUUCUCAAUACCUCCACCUCACUGGAUAAAUGUGUUCCAUGCAAAAAUUCAAUAUCAGAGUUAAGAAAAACUUACCCCUCAGCAUUCUGCAAAGCCAUUGACAAGUCUAUUUGCUGUCCAAUUAGAAAUGCAUUCUUUUUUUGCAUGACUUGAAGUCAAUUUUAUAUAAUGUAAUUUUUAAUCAGGAAAAAAAACCAUUUCUCACUUAAAAAGACGGAUUUCAUUCAAUAAUGAUGAAGGAUACAAGCCAAGAAGCUAAAAAAGAAACACCAAAUCUUAAAGUAAGAGCCAUGCUCGUAGCUCAUAAAAUAUCCAGAACACCUAGCUAAAUGGAGGAGGGUUGCGUACGUGAAAACAUCUAAGGCAACACAAGACACGAAAGAGAGCGAUAUGGGCACAUUGGAAACAGAAGUCUGAGUUUACAACGGUAUGGGUUGUCUCCUUCCACACUAACCCUAUCCUGGCAUCUACUCUUUCGGAUGAUGAGAGAAGGGAGCCCCACAAUUCCACCCUCAUCAUCAUCAUCCAUAUGGGUACCAACCUCAAUGGUGUCAAGUCCUUGCUUUUAGCAUGGAGGAACCUCUACAUUUGAUCAACACGGUCCUUUUCCAUGCCUCCAACGACGACACCAUAAGCAGCCUUCCGCUCAUCUGCCAUCCGUCAUGCAUCCAUAUUGACCUUCAGUUUCGUAUCUCUAGGUGCUUCCACUUUGCAGUCCUUGGCCUAAUGGUCAGCAUAGGUCCAUGAGUGAGGUUAUGCACUCUAAAAUCUUUUUGGAGAGUCCUUGCCCAAAUCAGAGCAUCUUGGGGUACCUUGGACCAGCUCCAUGUUCCACACAUUCCAAAAUUGCCAUAGCACAAGUAGAAGGCUCGUGAAGGUCUUCUUGUCCAAAGUUGCACAAGGCUUGUGUGGGUUGGGGGAAGAAGGGAAAUGUUUUUAGUUUUUAAACAUCAUCCCUCAUUAACUGCAUGUUGCCAUCUGUGUAUUUAAUUCCUUUUAUGAUGAAUGAUAUAUAAAGCAAUUGAAGGCAUCAAUAUUGCAAAUUUAGAGCAUAGCAGUUUUGAGCUGUUUACCUGAAAAUAUGUAACACUAAAGUUAUACUGCAGACUGUUUAAAACAAGUUUAUUCCUUUGAGAGUGAGAAAUUGAAAAAGGAUAGUCUAAGAUAUGAACAUGAUGCGAAUCCCAUCAGCAAACAUUAUAAUAAUGAUGCACGUAAAUUUGCUUAGAUUGGACAGACCAACAGUAGUUCUCUCAGAAUCAAAAUUACUCAUUCAUACAAUUCAUAUCAUGAUAGAGUUCCGGUGGAGCAAUUUCAUACAUGAUGGAUUGGUGUAUGUGGGUCUAGGUGUUAGUCAGUAGGACAGAUGCAGCCGCACGAUUAUCAUAUGGGUGAAGCCGAUUGGACUGCAUGCAUGGUCAUGAGAGUCGUCUUCAACUUUAACACUUAGAAUCUCCUAUUCAAUAUUGUUAAUAUAAUACAAUAGAGAGGGAGAAAAGUAUUACAAAACAAAUGAUAGUGUCAUUGUCAAUUCUUCGUCUCCGUUUACCAUAUCUCCAAACUAAUCAUCAAAUCAAAGUCUAAUUACUUAUAACUAACGCGAUUUGACUUUGAUUAUGGGAUAAUUUAUAUUAGAACUAUCUUAAAAACUAAGAUUUUAAGGCACUAAUAAAAUUCAUUACAUCUUUAAAUUAAAAGACUUAAAAUUAUUAUUAUACACCCAUCCAUAUUCAACCUACUCUCUAAAUCUAUAUUUUUUAAAUAAAAAUAUAAGUAAUUAAAAAAAAAAUCAAAUAACAUAGAUAAAAGAUGGAAAGUGGAAAAUAAGAUAAAUUUAUCAUUGUAUUUUUAUCUACAUAUCUACUUCUUAUUGACAUUUAUUAAGAUAUUAUUUUCAAUAAUAAAUUUUUCCUACAAUACUUUAUUAUUAAAAAUAAUUAUAAUACAUAAAAUUAUAUUAUAUUUGUAAAAAUUAAUUUUCUAAUGUAUAAUAUUUAAUUAAAAUUUUGAAUAAAUUUUAAAAUAUAUAGGAAUAUUAUUUAAACAUCAAAUUUAAAUGAAAGGUUUAUAUUUAUUAAAUAAUAAUUCAAAUGAAAAUUAUUGAAUGGAUAAUAAGUAUCGAAAUAGCGACAUAAUCAUCUGAUUCAAUUUGCUCAUCUUCAUUUAAGAGAUUUCACUGAGUAGAAAUUAAAUUACAAUUAAAAAAAAAUAAAAUCAUAUUCAUAAAAAGGUUGAAAAGAUCAGAAGAAUAAAACAAAGUGAAAACAACUAAGGGCGUGAUUAAGGAUGAGCAGAACUUGAAUUUCAAGUUAUUCAAUUUUUUUCAAGUCAACUCGAAUAAGUAAUUUGAGUUUUGAGUUCGAAUCAAGUUAAAUUUUAUAAUUCAAAUAACAUAUUGGUGUAAAUACACAUUUGGCUCUUGUCAAUUUUGAAAAUAAGCAAAUUGGUCUCUCUCUUAACAAAAAUUAUAGAAAAAUUCAAAAUAUUUAUAAAAAUUUCAAAUUUUAUAUUUUUAAUAUAUAUAAUUAAAAAAUUCUAAAUAAUAUAUAAAGAAAGUUAAAAUUUUUAAAAAAUUCUAAAAUAAUAAUUUUGGGGACCUAAAAAAAUUAAUUAAUGAUUCAAAUUUGUUGUAUUUUUUAUUUAUUUUGCUUUAAAAAAGUUUUCAAGUAUAUAUAGUUUCAUGAAAUUAGUUAUUUUUAAAUUGACAUGUUUAAUUUUUUAAUUUAACUCGAACAUUUUUAUUCGAUUUGACUUGACUAGAAUUUUAUUUCGAUUCGAUUCAAAAACAAUUUGAAUCAAAUUAGGAUAAAUCGUACUCAUCAACUCGAAAUUUUUUCAUUUGAUUCGACUUGAUUUAAUCGAGCAAUCACCCUUAAAUACAUCCAAACAAAACUUAAGUGAACGUGUACCAUUACCCUCCAUCAAAAUUGUUUAAGACUAAUCUUUUGAGAAAUAUCCUUAUUUAACAAUCACAUGCUUAUGGAAGAUUGGUGUGAUGAUAAUAUUAAUGUGUGAACAUAUCUAACGUAGGUUACAAGGAAAAUGGAUUGAGAUUUGAGAUGGAGAUGAAGAUGGUGAUGGGUUUUGAUGAUUUUGAAAUUGCUUGUGAGAUAUAUAUAAAAUUGGAACGAAAGAAAGAGACGUAAAUAAAUUAAUUGGAUAUGAGAGAUUUGCAAUUGCAAGCAUCCUUCAUUACUGUGCAUCAAGAUUGAAGGAAUGAGAAAAUAAAGUCACAUUCAUUAAAUCAAAUUAAAUGCUGCUAUUCAUUGCCAAAAGCAUGAGGUGGCUGAAGUUGUUGAUGACUUUCUAGUUUCAUUUUGGAAUAAAUUAAUUUAAUGACAGAUAAAAAUAAUAAUGGAAAAGAAUAUAAAUUUUUAAACCACACUUUGAAUUAAUUAUUUUUAAUGCUACCAACUCUAUUGUAUUGUGAAAAAUGAAAUCCAAGUCCAAAAAAUGGAAAUUUUCAAUCAUUCAUACUUAUCAGGCCAAUCAGCCUAUAUUUUUCCAUAUAUCAACUUUUAUACGUCCAAAUUCUAAACUCUCGAAUUUUUGCUUCAUUACCAAUGCUCUCCUCACUCUCUCUAAGCUCCAACACUAUAAUCGUAUCUAAUCAUACUAUUGUUGGGAAAUUAUUAGAAAAGCACCCUACAUUUACCAAAACAAUCAUGCCACUCCCCUACACAACAUAUACGUAAAAAUAAAUAGAGAUGAUUUGUUCUUUCUAAAUAAUAAAAAAAUAUUUUGAUACUAAAAGAUUCUUCGGUGAAGUUAGGGAUAAAUUGUUCACACAUUUGGAAAUUUCGUACAUUAUUAAGAGAGUCAAUAUACUAUAGUCAAGUACAUGUGCGACUUAAAUUUUACCCACACAUCAAGUAUACUUCAAAUUAGAUAACUCUCUUAGAACUCAAUUCAAUUUACUUACAAUAUUUGCACACAAUAAAACAAUUCUUAAUUGAAUAAGUCACAAAUAACCUAAGCAAAUCAUGCGAUAUAUAAGAGUUAAACCACUUCAAUAAUCGACCCACCAGUAGAGAUUUUUUUAGUGGUUAGACUCUUUUGAAGACUAUAUCUUUUGGUAUGAAUUAAAAGUUUAAUUUCAAUCCAUACUUUCUAAUUUUCGAGCAUAAAAUUUUUGUAAAUGUGCUACGUCUAACAAUGCUUAAGAUACAAAAAUGGCGCGAGUCUUUUCUCAAUUACACCUAGACAUUAACAACAUUACAAAUCCGAGGAGAAAUAGGUUAUCAAAAUUGCACCAUAAAGUUUGGACCAUUUACUCUUUUGAGUUGGUAGCUAAAUAAUACAAAAUUUUAUUGUUUACGUUUUAAUUGAUUUUUUUUACGUGUGUAUAUAUAAAUAUUAGGCUCUGAUCAAAUAUAUAUUAUAUAUAUAAAUAUUCGGCGCAGGUAGACAGCUGGUAAGAAAUUAUUGAGUGAGAGAGAGAAGCCACGUGGGUUGUUGGCCUGUAAUUGUCCUUAAGUAACAGCUUCCUGCAUCCACAUGGCGUCUAUAGUAUAUAGAUGCCAGUGCCAUGCAUCAACAUGAAUGCUUUCUCACUUCAUAACAUGGCAUGGUAUGCCCAUGUCUACGUGGAUAAGGAUGAGUUGGGACCCAAUAGGUUUCAACAAAACAAAUAAGAUAUGAUGAAUCAUAUUUUGCAUGACACACAAGUUAUUCAAUUAUCAAAAGAAUAUUUUGCUAAAGACAAAAAAGUCCACGCCUAUCAAUGCGAUUAAAGAAAUCAUGGAUUAUCGGGAGGUGGCUGUGUAAUUUUCCUCUAUGGUUUGGGAGAAAGCCAAGUAAUAAUACUUUUUAUAAGCCAAUUUAAAAUUGUAAGAGAAUAUAUUAGCAAAGCCCAUGCAGCUGCCCGGUGCCUUAAAUUAAUUUUGCUUCUUUCACAAUAUUUAAACGAGUACUAGUAUACCAUUCAAUAAUAGCUACUAAUAAAGUACAAAUUAGACAGCCAUAAACAAAUAAUUGACAUCACACUGUUGUUGUGGACUGUAAAGAUUUUGGUGAAGCAAUGCAUGGAAGUGGAUUUUCAGUCACAAGACAAGAUGAUUGUGUCUUUGAUCAACAAAAUUCAAGUUUUUAUUGGGACCGGGUGUGUUGGGCCUGGCCCUGGAGAUGGUAACCUAAUUUAUUAGGCCUGCUUCCCCGAGAUGAGAGAUGGGGACCAUAUAUAUUUCAUUUAUUAUAUAAAUAAAAGGGGACACGCAGGAACAAAAAGACAGACAAAUUUAUGGGAAUGAACGAAAAGUCAAAAGUGGACAAAAGGGUGAUGGGGUCCGUCCGAAUACCAACAAGGAGUAUGAAUAAGAACAUGAUGAAUACACGUGGUAGGUCCCAUCCCCCACCUCUCUCUCUAUCUACUUUCUAUUGCGGUCCACCUCCACCAUCUACCGCUCUGCUACAGCUGUCACCACUCACCACACACCACACACGUAACCUAAUCCCUUUUGCCUUUUGAUACCUCUGUCCAUCGAACUUUGUUAAUUACUAAGUUUUUUUUUUAUUUUUAAUUUUAGACCUUAUUUAAUAGUAUUUAUUCAAUUUAUUCAAUUAGAUUCGGUUAUUUUAUUAUCAAAUUGAUACGAUUUUAGGAGGUUGAAAUUAAGAGUUCAUUUUUAAUUUUUUAUAUUUUUUAGAUUAUUGUGUGAAAAUAUUAUCAUGUAUAAUAUAGUAUCAACUUAUUAUUUUUAUUUGAUAUCCAAAAAGUUAAUUAACUUUAAUUAUGAUUAAAAUUUUAAAUUUUAAAAAAUAUAAAAAAACAAAUAAGCAAAAAAAUCUUAAACGUAUAGCUUGCAAAUUUUAAUUAUUAUUAUUUGAGUUAUAAUAUAAAUUUUCAAAAUUCUAGAAAUAAAAUAAGACACGUUGCUUAAAAAGUAAUAAAAGAAAUUGAGCAAUAAAUUACUUACCAUCAUCAUCAUAACCACCACCCACAUCCAUGGAAGAUGCAUGCAUGCAUGCAUGCAUACAUACAUACAUAUAUAAUUAUUUUGUUAAUUACUACAAUGAUUGUCUUUCCGAUUCUUUUUAUAUAGAUAAUCGCAGUAAUAAUAAAAAAGUGAAAAAGAGGAGCACAAAUCUUGGACGCGGACAGCACAGCUUUAUAAGCCUGCCUUAGGAUCGUGUAUCGAACUACAAGUCUUUAAAUUUAUUACAGGGAAAAGCAGGAAAGCAGAACUAGAACAAGAUGGUAGGAUUUUCUUCCCAAACAGAAUCUUGGGUUGCCACCAGAAACUCAAUCUACGAAUCCCAGAAAGAGGCAGAUAGCUUCGAAUUGGAUCUAAAACGUCUAGAUCUGAUAAAGAUAGAUCAAGAAGACGAGAAUAAUAAUAUUAACAGCCAAGAUAAGAUUAGCACCACCAAGAAGAACAAGAAGAAAAAUCAGGUGUUGCUGGAGGGAUACGUGGAGGCGGUUGAUGAGGAGGAUGAACUGAAGAGGACAAAGAGCUUGACCGGUGAUGAUCUAGACGAACUAAAGGGGUGUUUAGAUCUGGGGUUUGGCUUCAGCUACGAGGAGAUUCCUGAGCUUUGCAACACCUUGCCUGCACUUGAGCUAUGUUACUCUAUGUCUCAGAAGUACUUGGAUGACCACCAGCACCAUGCAUCUCCAGACACCACCGCUACCCCCGAACCCGUCGCCAAUUGGAAGAUCUCUAGUCCUGGUCAGUCUUUUCUCUUUUUUACCAUCUUUCUUUGUUUUAUUUUUCUAUUUGUCAUCAGAUCUUGUUGUGCUCGUUUUUACAAGGACUUUGAGUGAUGAUAAGCUUUUGUUUCUUGCUUUUCUUUCCCACUUGUUGUAGUGUUAUAUCAUACAUGACAUGCUUUUCUUUGCUAGAUGAAAUUAGGAUUGAGCCAAAAAGAAUUGAAAAACUGAUUCAAAUCGAUUCAUUCGGCUUAGUUUAGAUUCAGGAAUUGAAAGCCCACACUUGGGGUUCCUUUAUUCAAAUAAAUACUUGGUUUCUUACACAAACACAAUAAUCAAGGUUGAUUUGCAUUGAUGCUGAGAAAUCCAAGAAACUAAUAUUUUGCCAUCUGCUCAAAGUUUACAAAUCUUUUCACAGAAAAGGGGAAAAAAAAAAAGCAGGAACAUUGUGCAAUUUGUUUUUCAUAGAACAGUAGUACUCGCAAGUUGGAUGCAUCUAGCCUGUGCAAAACCAUGUAUAGAUGGUCGACUUCGCUUAGGGAACGAGUUUUAACCUUGUGUAUGCAUUACAGGUGACCAUCCAGAAGAUGUUAAAGCAAGGCUUAAAUUCUGGGCACAAGCUGUGGCCUGCACUGUCAAACUGUGCAACUAAAAGAUUCAUGAACAAUCAUUGGAAAAAUGAGAAUGAAUAUUUUUCUCAUUGAUGAGCAUCAACUGGAUAAAACCCUACGCUCUGCCGAACCAUGCCAUGGUGGGGAUGACAUUUCCAGCAAUUGUGGGAAAUAGACCAGGCCAAAAUUUUAAAAAUGGAUCAGCUGCAAGGAGCAUGGGAAGAAGCUGGAAAGGAAGAUGUUACAGGUUUGAGAUUAACCGAUGAUCCAAUGAGUCUUGACUUAAUUCUGCGGAGACUAGGAUAUAUAUGAUAUAUUAAUUGUAUCCCGUAUGGUAUGAAUAAAAUAUGUCUUCUUACUGCUACUAUGCUUCAUUGGUGUUUGAUAUAUAUAUAUAUAUAUAUAUGGCUAUGGAAUCCAACCGUCUGUUGGCUUUGCAUGCAGUGGUGAGAGUCUCCAGUUGAGCUUCACCAACUAGUUCCGGACCUCUGCGUUUGCUGAGGUAACCAAUCUAAUUGUGUUGAUUCAUCAUACCUGUGUUUCCUCUCACCAUGAUUACUGUGGUGGUACCUGGCUAACCAAUGCCGCAGCAUGGAACCACUGAUACUUGAGCUUUUCUAAGAAUAAACUGACCAUUUUAUGGCCAUAGAUCUCCUAUUCUAUCUAUCCCUAAUGCCUUGAAUUUUGAGGUAAAUUGAUUCUUGUAACCAAUAUGAAUCUUGGUGGGAGUUGUUAGGGUUUUCUUUCUCACGGAACGGAAGGCUGCAAAUUACACGCAUUCCACUGAGAUGGCUCAUCUUUGCGUAUGUUAAUGUGGUGUUGAAGGUUACGUUUUGGUAUCAGUUUCAUUUUGUGGUUGAGAUUGAGAUAGGAAGAAAACUCAAAACUUAUCUGAUAAUCACAGCCUAGUUUGAAACAGUAAGAGAAGGGACGAAAUUUGACUCGGAUUGGAUUUCCGUUAUUAGGAAAAGAGGCUUUGAGUUGAAAUAUCAAAAUUUAUUGAUUGGGGGUUAUGUCAAAGUUUACUCUUCUCCAGAAAAUCACAUCAGCAAAUAGCAGUUUAUGUUUACGUUUUCAUUUAUUAAAUCUCUCUAUACCUCAUUCUGAGCUGCCAAUCGAAUUCUUCGACCAAGUCCCUCCAUAUCAGUAACAAAUAGAUAUGAAUGACCUCUUUGACUCUCAGUAAUCCAACUUUUAACUACAAAAUAGACUGAAUUUUGGCGAGAUGAUCACUCUUUUAAACAUACUAACAAUGAGCUUUGUAACUACGUACGUCACGGCACUUUAAGAAUUAAUUGCAUUCAACUUGGAAACUAUAAUCUCUCAAAGGAAAACUUGUCUAACCAUAGCUUCACUUAACAAAGCUCCAUUUAUGUGGAGCAUUAAGCCCAUCAACUCUAUUAAGUAAGGCCUGCCUGAUUUCAUCCUUAGAAACACCCUACUUAAGCUUUAUCUCUAGUUAAGCCUAUUAUAUUUACUUUGAAAGAAACUAAUUAUCAGGACCUAAUUUUAUAUGUCCUUGAUUGAUUUAGCCUUUUGACGUUAAAAAAUCCGACCAACACCUUUUAGCCGAUUGUUGUUCUUAAACGUUAUUGUGAUGUCAUCAAUACGAAAAAUUUUAAAUUAAAAAUAAUGUUUAAUUAUAAAAAUUUAAAUUUUACAAAUAAAAAUGAUAAAUAUCAAAUUUAUAUAUCAACUUCAAUUUAAAGUGCAACUUAAUACAUAAACUUUGAUUUGGACCAUUUGAUCUAAUUAUACACAAAAAAAAUCAUAAGUGUUUAAGUAAAUGAAGCGAGGUUCUUUAUUUAUAGUUGAGCUCUUUCGGAUCUAAUGAUGCAAAUCGAAUUACAUCAACGGUUGAGAUUAAUGUUUGUCUUAAUAUGAGAGUUUAAAGGAUUUAAAUUAUAUACAUUUCACUAGACAACUAAUGAUUCAAAUAAAAAGACUCUAAAUUUAUAUUUACACAUGUAUACACGUGAAAUUGAAUUUCUAAUUUCUCUUAUAUUAUUUUUAAGUAUUAAAAACUAUUAACCAUUAAAUGAUUCGGAGGGAUCCAAUCAUAUGCAAUCGAAAUAAAUAAGCCGCCAUAAAUAAUCUAACCAAAAUAGCCAUGGACGAUUUAGAACAUGAAGAAAAAAAUGAACAUGAAGAAGAAAAAUAUUUCUUACCGAUUGAUAGAAUGGAGUUAAUAGCCUUGACCCAAUGUUGAGUUCUAUUUUAAAAGAUGCAUAAAUUAUAUCUAAUGUCAUUAAACUUUUAAUUACUCAACUAGCUAUUUGAAAUUUUUUAUUUAAGGGUCUGUUUGAUUGACGGAAUUGAUUUUCCGGAAAAUCGUUUCCAACUUUUCCAGCGUUUGAUUGGCGGAAAACAUUUUCCAUUUGGAAAAUGAACUCCAAAAUAAGGGAAAAUGGGUUACAUUUUAGGGAAAAUGUCUUACCUUUUCAAUUUCCGUAAGACAUUUUCCGUGCUCUCCUCUCUAUCGCCUCCUUCAUUUCCGGUAGAAAACUGCUGCUGUUUAUCGAUUUUCCAGUAACUUGUUUUUUUAAUUAUUCAAUACUUGUUUUUUAACACAAUUACAAAUAAUUUAUUUGAUAUUAGUUUUUUUCAAUUUAUAACGAUUAAUAUUGUAGCUUAAUAAUUGAGAAUUAUUAUAAAUAAAUCAUUGCAAUAUAUGUAAAAAUAAUUUAAAAUAUAAAAAUUUAUUAAUAUAUAUUAAUAUAUGUAAAAACAAUUUUUCCGAAAAAUAUUUUCAAAAAAUCUGCCAAGCAGCAGAAAAUAUUUUACACAGAUUCAAUCAAACACCAGAAAAUAUUUUCCAGUAAAUCAUUUUACAGAGAAGUAAAACAUUUUCUAGAAAUCAUUUUACGGAAAAUAUCUUACUGGCAAUCAAACAGACCCUAAGUUACCAAAUUCUUAAAAUCAUUGCUGUAUGACAUAAUUCUUAAAAUCAUUGCUGUAUGACAUUUUUAUUUGCAUUGCAUGCUUCAACCGAAUAUUUUUAUUCUCAUUCUUUUCCACAGUUAUUUUUUUAUUAAACAACUUUAAACAUCAUGAAUAUGUAAACUCAACUCCAAAAAAAAUUAUUUUUCAAUAUUUGACAUUGAGCAUUAAAUCGAUUUAAAUACAAGAUAUAUUAUUCUACUUAUCAAUGGAUACUGAUCCAUCAUAUUGAUUGCCAAAUUGUUUCUUGUGUGGAGUUGGCUAAUCGGAUUAAAAAAAACAUAUUACCCCAAUAAUAUAAAUAUUAAUACUUAAAAUUUACUAAUAAUUUAUUUACUUAUGCCUUAAACAUAUGGAUGAUAACAAAACCUAAAGUUAUAAACCUUGUAUGCCAAAAAAGAGUCAUAAACCUUGAAAAGAAAAAAAAAAAACAGAGGCAGAGGGUUGUUUGCCCUGCUCUUAAUCUCAUCUAUAUCAGUACUCCGCCUCCCACCCUUCCGCGCCAAUACACACACAAAAAAAGACCCAGCAAAAAGCUCUCAAAGAAGAAGAAGAAUCAAAUGGAGGAGGUGUGCGAGGGAAAGGACUUCUCCUUCCCUUCCCAAGAGGAGCACAUACUAUCUUACUGGUCCCAAAUAGAUGCCUUCAAGGGUCAGCUGGCUCGCACCCAAAACUUGCCUGAAUACAUCUUUUAUGACGGUCCACCCUUCGCCACCGGUCUCCCUCAUUAUGGCCACAUCCUCGCUGGCACCAUUAAAGAUAUUGUCACUCGCUUCCAGUCUAUGACUGGACAUCAUGUCACCCGCCGUUUUGGUUGGGACUGCCAUGGUCUCCCCGUAGAGAACGAAAUCGACCGCAAGCUCGGAAUUAAGCGCCGCGAUCAAAUUCUCGAGAUGGGUAUCGAUAAGUACAAUGAGGAAUGCAGGAGUAUAGUCACUAGGUAUGUCGAGGAGUGGGAGACUAUCAUUACCAGGACUGGGCGUUGGAUCGAUUUCAAAAAUGAUUAUAAGACCAUGGACUUGAAGUUUAUGGAGUCCGUGUGGUGGGUUUUUGCCCAGCUUUACCAAAAGGGACUUAUCUAUAAAGGAUUUAAGGUCUGGUUACAAUUAAAACCCAUUUUCUGUCGCCUUUGCUUCCUUCACAAUUUCUUUAUUAAAAAGUUUGUUGUCCUGCAGGUCAUGCCUUAUAGUACUGGGUGCAAGACCCCGUUAUCUAAUUUUGAAGCUGGUGAGAACUACAAGGUAUUUACUUGAUUUUAGUGUCACUCUAGUUAUUUUUACUCAAGUUCCUAUAGCAAUUUGGUCUAUUUGUUCUCUGAUGACCUUUCUGAAAUGCUCCAAGUACACUUCAGAUACUAGUUUUUCAGCCCUUUUACUUCAACUAUGUCUAACAACACUUCAUUGUGCAGCUUGUGCCUGAUCCUGAAAUAAUGGUGGCUUUCCCCAUAGUUGGUGAUCCAGAUAACGCUGCUUUCGUGGCUUGGACAACAACACCAUGGACCCUUCCUAGUAAUCUUGCACUUUGUGUCAACGCAAAUUUUGUCUAUGUAAAGGUUCGUUGCCCUUCACUUGUUACUUAUUUAGGUCAUCAGCACAAGAUGGUCGAGUUGUUUAUCAUGUCAUUUCUAUUGCAUUUGGGGUUGAAGCAAUGUGUAGUCUUAGUUUUAGAUCAUACAUGAUGCUGUACUGCUUGUUAGUUUGUUACCUGAUCCCACCCAACAAAUCGGCUUCUCCAUCAUGCUUCCCGUGGUCAUUUUACAUUGCUCUUAAUUGCUUAUAACUCAUAGUGUAUGAAAAUUUUAUGUAGGCGUGCCUGCAUGCAAAACACAGAGAUGACAUCCUUCCUAAAGAAAUAUGGGUUAUGUAAUUAAAUUUCAGGUUCGCAAUAAGUACUCUGGAAAAAUCUAUGUGGUUGCUGAGUCAAGGUUGUCUGAACUUCCAACUGAGAAACCAAAGCCAAAUGCUGCUAAUGGGCCUUCUGGUGAUUCCAAGAAAUCUAAGAGCAAAGGAUCUUCUGGCGAAAAGACUAAAGAUUCUGCAGCAGAUUCCUUUGAAGUUUUAGAAAAAUUUUCUGGGGCUUCACUAGUGGGGAAAAAGUGAGUAUUCAUGCUUAUGGUUAUCUGUUCUUGGUCCUAGUUGACUAUAAAAGAACUUUAUAUUGAUUGCAUCCUAGCAGUUCUUUUUGGGAUUUAUAUUGGUAAUAUCAAACUUGUGUUUGGAAUUGUGAUGUAUAUUUUCACCUUUCUAUCAUCUGGAGUUGUUUGUUUUGAGGAUAUCGAAUAACUUGGGAAUCAUUAAGAGGUGGUCUCUAGUUUGAUGCAACUUGGUUCAUAUGCCAAUGAUUCCCAUCUGGGUGAUAUCUAGACUGCUAUCUUUAUAGCUACUGAUCUUCAUAAGUAGGAAUGGAGUACAGCGUGUCAAUGUUUUUUAUCUGCAGCAUUAAGUGAUGUAUAAUUGGCUGCCAGUUAUGAUCUCUCUAGAGAACAUUAAAAUUUGUGACUGGCUCUUGAGAUAUUUAAAAUUGGUUUGAGUCUAGACAAGCUUCUUUGUAGUAGGAUACUAAGAGGAUGCAUAUGUUGCAGGUAUGAACCAUUGUUCAACUACUUCUUGGAGUUCUCGGAUGCCGCUUUUAGGGUGAUUGCUGACAAUUAUGUGACAGAUGACAGUGGUACUGGAAUUGUACACUGUGCUCCUGCAUUUGGUGAAGACGAUUACCGAGUUUGCAUUGGGAAUCAAAUAAUCAAUAAGGUUUGCCCUAAUUACUUUAUCUGAAUGUAUUAAUUUUUAGCUGUACGGUUAGACUUGGUAUUUUGACAUACAGGUUGUUACAUGUUGCAUGAAUUUUCAUUUGGUGUUCAUGCCUUUAUAAUGUUCUUGCUUGAUGGUUUUUGUGUAACUAAUACGUUUUCGUUAUGAACUUUCUUCUCUGGUUGUCCAUUGAACAUGAGAAGCGGAUGAAUAACAUUUGCUUCUGGAAGAAAUUGAAGGAUUCCUUGGGAAUCCUACAAGAUCCAUUCGUUCUUUUCUCAUUGAUAGUCAAAAUUUCAUAUGGUUUCAUAUCAUGUUGAGGAAAGAAAAAAUAUUUCUUUUGCCCUUUCUGGGUGAUUGAAAAAUAAAGAUAUAGUUAAUACAUUCAAGAUAAUUGCAUAUUCAAAAUACCUCUUGUAUUCAUACUAUUUCAUCAGAUCGGGGAUGCGGUAUGGUACCAGAGGAUGAAUUGGGCAGUUCCAAAAAGAUUUCAUUCUUGAACAAAAAUCUAUUUUCUUGGAUUCUAAACAUAUUGUAUCCUUUCUUGACUGCAUUUGAUGUUGAAAUAUAGGAUUUGCUCAUUUACUAAUCAGUGCCUAAGUCUAAUGCCUAAGAAAGGUUAAGUUAUAGAGAAAGUUGUAGAGAGCUGCAGCUUGCACAUUGUCUAUCACAAUUGUAAUUUAACUUCUGAGGAAUUUAUGUCCUUGAGGCAGGAAUGCUCAUUAAAUCUCCCUCAUCAGUUUGAAUACAUUUGCUGAUGCUCUGUCACCUGUUGUUUCCUUUUAUCGCAAACACAUCUUGUUAUUUAUUUUGUUUUUGAAAAUUUAGUGGAUAAAUCAAACCAUUAGUUUCAUUUCUUUUAUUCACUAUAUCUGUUUUCUCUUUUUAUGUGAAUUGAACCAAUUUCCAUGCUUUUAUCAUGUUUGUUCCUUCGGAUCAAUACCACCCUUCUUUAUACUUCUUUUACCAUUUAUUUAUCUAUUUUUGCCUUGUAGGGUGAGAAUCUGAUUGUAGCAGUUGAUGAUGAUGGUUGCUUUACUGGGAAAAUUACUGAUUUUAGUGGAUGCUAUGUUAAGGAUGCUGAUAAGGAUAUUAUUGAAGCAUUGAAGGUCAGAUUGAUGCAAAAUUAUAUCUUAUUGAAAGAAAAGAGGAAAACCUCUGAGCAUCUAUCCCCAACUUGAGAUAAUUGUUUAUUACCAAUUUGGGAGCUCCUAUACUUUGUUGACAGCUCCAUGCAAUUUUAAAGCUAGCGAUAAUAGUUUUUAUUACCAUCACAAGCCAAAAAAGCAAAAUUUUAAAAGAAAGAAAGAAUCUAGUUGUUAUGUCCUAAGAUUUGUUUCUUACUAUGUUUUAUACUUACUUUUCUUUCUCCUUGAACUUCAUCAAUCCUCUUCUUUAUUUCCCAGGCAAAAGGCAGGCUUGUUAAGCAGGGAACCUUUACACAUUCUUAUCCGUUUUGUUGGAGAUCUGAUACUCCUCUUAUUUAUAGAGCUGUUCCAAGCUGGUAUGUUUGGUUUUAUCACUCCUUAUUCCGAAAGAUUAAGAACCUUAGUUUAUAGCUUUGCUAAAUAAAGAUAUAAGUUAUAUACAAGCAAACUUUAUUUUACCCUUCUUUAAUGACCGUUUUUCAUGCCUUUUCUCUAAUAUUUUUGCCAAAAAUAACUCAGAUAUUAAUUUUAGUUGUUGGCUCAUUUAAUCAUCAAUCCUCUUGAUGGUAAUAUAGUCAAAUACAUUGAGAGGAAAUGCUAAUAUAUUGAUCAAAUUUGAACAUUCCAUUGUCUGCUUACCUUGCUAUGAGAAAGUUGCUUUACGCAUGUGCUUUUGGUUGACUUGAUUCUUCUGGAAUCAUUACAGACAAGUCAUAUGCUUGUAAAUCCCUUGAGGGGCAUUAGUUGACAAAGCGUGUAUCAUGGAGAAAUUGUUUAUCAAAUUAAGCUCAUGAAAGUUGAAUUCUGUGCUGUAUAUGUAGUUGGUCGUUAGAAGUUCUUCUAAGUUGAAAUGAAUUAUUAGUUUCAAUAAGUGGAAGGUUAUCCUAUAAAUGGUUUUUGACUGCUAUGUUAGUUUGUGCUUAAAUAAGCAACUUUGAGUUGGUGUAAGCAUUGAAGAGUAGGCUGCAGGCUUUGAUGGUCUAUGAAUGCUGCAUUUUUGCUUUGCCUUCGUUAACAAGGUUGAUGUUCUGUAAAUUGAGACAUGAGCAAAGAAAUCAUUUAAUGUUGAUCCCGGACUUGGAAAAGUUCUGUAGACUUUGAAGGAUUUACAGUUUUGGUUGCAUGAUUUCCACAUACUUCAUUUUGUGAAUGUAGGCAUCUUAAAUUUGCUUUGCACUACAAAACUCAUGCUUUUUUACCUUAUAUAGUUGGCCAUUAGUUAACUGGUUUGUUUGCCCAUUUCUACAUUGUGUAUUUACCUAUUAAAGGAGAUUUUGAUAGUGCACAAGGAUUCUGGAAACCAUGCUUUUACUUCCUUGCUUUCAUUUUCUGCUGCAUUCUAGUUGUGUAAGUAAUGUAUCAUAUGUAUUAGGUUUGUGCGGGUGGAACAACUGAAAGAGCAAUUAUUAGAUAACAACAAACAGACCUACUGGGUACCUGAUUAUGUGAAGGUUAGAUGACUUUCUUCACUGCCUGUUGAUGUUAUUAUGUUUUUACUUGAAGCUCUUUUCAAUUUUUCUGGUGUUCAUUCUGUUUGCAUGGGUCUGGAUUUAUCUUCUACUCAUGGUUCUUUCAGAAUGUCAUAUUCUCUGUGUGUUUUGUCAUUUCACAGGAUAAACGUUUUCACAAUUGGCUGGAAAAUGCAAGAGACUGGGCUAUUAGUCGAAGUAGAUUUUGGGGCACUCCCAUUCCUGUGUGGAUUAGUGAAGAUGGUGAGGAAGUAAUAGUCAUGGAUUCUGUUGAAAAACUCGAAAGGCUUUCCGGUGCUAAGGUUUGACUUUUUUUUCCUACUUUCCCAUGUCUAAGAUGUUACUCUUUAGGAAGGUAGAUGUUGUUGGCCUCUAUCUAUUUACUUUUGCCUCUAUGCUUUCUACAUUUGGUCCCCUUUUCUCCUUGUCUGGGGAUUGUCGUGAUAGAUUUAAAACUUUUGUUCUUCCAUUUCAUUUAUUUUUCACACAAUGGGUAGGGGUCUAUUUCAGUGCAGUCUUGAUGAGUUAAGGACUGAAUCCUUUGAGAGAGAAAAUAUGUUAUUUUAUUGAUUGAUCCUUGUGCCUUCAGUUUAUGUAGUUAAUUUUAAGUAUUGUCUAAAAUAAUAAAUGGAUGAUGGUUCUAGAGUUUGUGUCACUUUGCAUCACUUCUGGCACCACUUUAUUAUUUUAGCUUUGGUAUCAGGGUCCAGUGAAUUUAUCCUGUCUUCAUUUGUUUAUGUUUGUUUCUUGGAAGUAUUGCAGUGUGUACUUUUAGAUUGCUAUUGAGAAUAUCUCUGCCCAGCAAUUUGUGGGUUUGUGCAUAAUUUAAUUUAUUAUUUCAGGUCUUUGAUCUCCAUCGGCACAAUAUUGAUCAUAUCACUGUACCUUCUAGCCGUGGUCCAGAAUUUGGUAGUGCUACGACGUAUAGAUGAUGUAAGGCUACUGACUUUAGGUUCUUUUUAUGCAAAGAGCUGUUAUUAUUAGUAACUAUCAGAUUCUAUGUUGCUGAUGUAGUGUCCAACCCCAUCUUCGAAUUUUUAUCAGUUUUAAUUUUGAGCUGAUUGCACAUUGUUGGAGUUCUAAAUUUUUAGACAGCUUCUGCUAAAAACCUUCAUUUGUCAGAUCUUUUUACUUAUUUGUGUUUAUGCUUAUCAUCAGUCUUUUACUCUGUUCAAUUAUUCUGAAUUAUUUUUGCAGGUAUUUGAUUGUUGGUUUGAGAGUGGAUCAAUGCCUUAUGCUUACAUCCAUUAUCCAUUUGAGAAUGUUGAACUUUUUGAGAAAAAUUUUCCCGGGCAUUUUGUGGCUGAGGGAUUAGAUCAAACUCGUGGAUGGUUUGUUCCCUACUGUUGGAUCUGUUAUUCAUUAUAAUUACCAGAUUUUGGAGUACAUGUGGAUUUAGCUGAUCCUAUGCACUUUUGACUGUUUUGCAAACCAAAUGAGCAAGCCUUUUGAGUUGCUAAAGUUUCUUGAUGGCGGUUUAACUUUUUGUUUUAAAAUUUUUUGACAUGCAUGAUUAAUGGUGAAGCAUUUUGCAUGUUCUUAUAACCCUUUAAAUUUUCUUUCGUUGGAAGUGGUAUGUAGGUGAGUGAAACAGUUGUGGAGUUUAGAUUGCCAUCACAUCCAGUUGGUCAAAAAUUCAGUUGAUAGCCUUUUUACUGAACAUUGUUCUUUUCCUAGACAGACCUAUUUCUUUUUAAUUAUUGUUUUCCUUUUAUACUGCUUAUACACAUUGUCAGGUUUUACACUCUUAUGGUGUUGUCAACUGCAUUAUUUGGAAAACCUGCAUUUAGAAAUCUCAUUUGCAAUGGGCUUGUCCUUGCUGAAGAUGGAAAGAAGAUGAGUAAAAGAUUGAAAAAUUAUCCUUCACCCAUGGAAGUCAUUAAUGACUAUGGGGCUGUAAGUCAUUUUCUGUAUACCCUUAUUUUAAUCUUUUUUCUAUUCACUACAUUCAGGCCAGUUUCUUAUUCUCGGUCUACAUGUAUUUUAGUUACAUGAACUUUGUUUCAUUCAUCAACACUUGUAUCUUGUUUUAAUUUUUCAGGAUGCUUUACGAUUGUACCUUAUAAACUCCCCAGUUGUUCGGGCUGAGACCUUACGCUUUAAAAAAGAUGGAGUCUUUGGUGUUGUGAGUAUUUUCUGUGCAUUGCUUGCUGUAUACCAGCUCUUGCUUCUGAAAAGAGUUUUCGUGUUAUGUUGCAUGUUUCUGACAUUCAUUUUCUUAAUCUGUUAUCUUGAUAUCUGCCCAGGUCAAAGAUGUCUUUCUCCCAUGGUAUAAUGCGUAUAGGUUCCUUGUUCAGAAUGCUAAAAGACUCGAGUAUGAGGGUUCUGCCCCAUUUGUUCCUAUUGCUGUCGCUGUUAUUCAGAAGUCAUCUAAUGUGCUUGACCAAUGGAUAAACUCUGCAACUCAAAGUCUUGUUCAUUUUGUUCGAGAGGAAAUGGAUGCAUAUCGACUUUAUACGGUUCUGUCUAUAAACCAACACAACCUUUUGGAAUUUCCUUACCUGCAUGUUGAAGAUAAAACUUAAAUAUAAUAUUUAAGUCAGAUUGGAAAAUUUGGCAACAUUUUUCUAGGUUUUGAAAUAGAAUUCACACUUUGGUUGCUUUUUUAGCGUUCAGAGUUGGCAGCAGCUUAGCAACUUUGACAGCCCAUACCAGCUUUAUAAGAUUUAAGAUUGUGUAUUACAAUAGUGAUGAGAUUGAUACUAUUAGGUAGAUCUGAUACUGAUUCUAUGAUAUUGUUAUAACAUACUUGUUUUUGGGAAUAGCACUACCAUGAUACAUUUGAGAUAUACCUUCUUUCUGUAGGUGCUAUGCAUUAGUUUUGUACAUCUGUUAUAUUACACUGUAAUAGAGCUGAAAAGAGUAUAUGCAUGUAUAUUCUGUUAGGUGGUGCCAUAUCUAUUGAAGUUUCUUGACAACCUCACAAAUAUAUAUGUGAGAUUCAACCGUAAGAGACUUAAAGGCCGUACUGGAGAGGAAGACUGCCGUAUGGCACUCUCUACUCUUUAUAAUGUAUGUACUAUUAUCUCAUUUUCCUAGUGGCAAUUCAUUGCUAAUCUGUUAUUAUGUGUUCAGUAACAGUCAUAUAAUUAUUUACAUGCUUAGAAAUUUGUACUAUGGUUUUAGGUGCUUCUGACUUCAUGUAAGGUUAUGGCCCCCUUUACACCAUUCUUCACUGAGGUUCUUUAUCAAAACAUGCAAAAAAUCUGUGAUGGAGCAGAGGAAAGCAUCCAUUAUUGUAGUUUCCCUCAAGAAGAAGGAAAGGUAUUGUUCAUUUUUGUUGUAAUUAGGCUAAUAUCGUUUGUUCUGUAUAAUUCAUUAAUAGUUUAUUGGUCAUUGCAUGGACUUUGCUCCAAAAUCUCUGUAGUUGAGAUUGUCUGAGAAAAUAAUUUAUCUGCUUAAUUAUAAGGUAGUAUAUACUACUCUAAACUAAUCAUUUGGCUGCUUUGCUGAAUUAAAUGGCAUUGCUAUCUUAGAGGGGGGAGCGAAUUGAAGAAAGUGUGGCUAGAAUGAUGAAGAUAAUUGACCUUGCCCGCAACAUUCGCGAGCGUCACAACAAGCCUCUCAAAACACCUCUGAGGUCUGCUUAUAAGCUGUCUCUUGCCUCAUAUUUCUCUUAUAUGUUUCUUGUCUGUCUUACCCUCUUACCCAUUCAUUCUUUGUAAUUUAGGGAGAUGGUAGUUGUUCAUCCGGAUGAGGACUUUCUUGGUGACAUAGUUGGCAAAUUAAGAGAGGUGCAUUGUGGAAACUUUAGUUCUUUUUCAGUUUGUAGUUUAAUAAAUGCCCCUUGCUCUACUUGUUAUCUCUUUGUUAUUCCUUGGAUGUCGUCGGCUAUACACAAAAUUCAUCAAGUUCUCAAAGUAGCAUUUGAGGGUUUUUUUUUUUAAAAUAAUCAAAUGGGAAAAACAAGAAAGGGAAAACUAAAAGUGAAAGAAGCUUUAAGUAGGAAUAGGAAGUGAGUCAAAUGGAUGUAAAUUUUCCUGUAGCUUAAUGGCAGUUAGGUUUCAAUUUGAUGCAAUGGUAAGGUUAAAUGCCUCCACUUAGUUUGACUUCCUUCUCUAAUUACUUCUUUCUCCUUUGGGUUGUCCGUUGGUCUUGAAAUAAAAAUGUAGUGGUUAGGCAAUAUUUUCUAUGUUUUUUUGUAUCUUAUUUUCCUUGUCUUCCCCCCCUCCCCCCAUCUUCUCUUACUGUAGUAUGUACUGGAGGAGCUCAAUAUAAGGUCUCUUGUUACAUGUAAGGACACUUUGAAGUAUGCAUCCAUUCGUGCAGAGCCUGAUUUUAGGUAUGCAACUUAUUAUCUUAUCAGCCCCUUUAUUGUCUGUUUCCCCCUCCUUUCAAUUGAGAGGAGCAGGAAAGGAGUAUGGAACCAGGUUCGUCUAAUAUUUAUUGCUUUUUCUAUUUUUUUUUUCAGCGUAUUAGGUAAGCGACUAGGAAAAGCUAUGGGAGCUGUUGCCAAGGAAAUCAAAGCCAUGUCUCAGGAAGAUAUCUUAGCUCUUACGAAAGCUGGAGAGGUGACUAUUGCUACACACUGUUUGAAGCUGACUGAAAUUAAGGUAUGCCGACUUAUGCUGGUAUAUGCAGGGUUGUUUUGCAUAGUUUAUUAUUAAAUUUAAUUUAAUGUAUUUGUUAAAAUUGUUUGCUCCGUCUCUUUUGUUUAGUCUUUAUAGUGAUGGCAUCAAUUUAAGUGAUUAGCUGUAUUUUAAACUUAUGGGCUUUUAUCUCUCUGUCUAUAAAUUCUUGAAUAAGAAGUUUAGGCUACUUUCUCUGGAUUGCUUAAAGUUUUUACAUAAUUUGAUGUGCUUUUGCCAAGAAUAGUGUUUUGGUAAAUACAUGCUGAGUAAAUAAAUGUUUUAUUUGUUUUGAAAUUGUUCAGCUUGUGCGGGAAUUUAAACAUCCUGAUGGCAUGACAGAUAAAGAGAUGGAUGCAUCUGGAGAUGGUGAGGAUUAUUAAUGUUAUUCUGAUUGGUGAUUUAUUCCUAUCAUGUCCUUCCCAUAAAGUGAUGUUAUGAAAAUACUUCAGUUUAAAAUAAUGUCUUUGUCAUAGGUGAUGUUUUGGUGGUUUUGGAUAUACGUCCUGAUGAGUCAUUGUUUGAAGCUGGUGUUGCACGUGAGGUAAAUUAAUCAUCAUGCUAGUAACAUAUGAAUUCUAAUUCAAAAAGAUGUAUUUACUUUUUCGUCUUCUUUCACUUUUUUUAAUUAGCAAUUGUGUUUGUGGAAGUAUGGUGACCUCUGUUGAUUGAUAAUGCCAUAUUGUGGUUAACUAGGUUUGUUUCUUUAUUAUGGAGGAAGCUAGUUGAAAGUUUUUGGUACUAUUUCUGAUGCAUUGGACAUUUUAAUUCAAUUUUUUGUAGGUGGUUAAUAGAAUUCAAAAAUCACGAAAGAAAGCUGGCCUUGAGCCGACAGAUAUGGUGGAGGUCUACUUUGAGUCAUUGGAUGAAGACAAGUCAGUCAUCCAGCAAGUUUUAAACUCACAGGUAAGUUUUGACCCAAAAAAAAAAAAUCUAGCCAGGGAUUUAGCUGUAGUUGCUAAUUAAAGACUAGCUAAACCCCUUGCCAGAUUUUUUGUUUGAAUGCAGCUGUGUGUGCAUCCAUGUACUUGUGCAUAGGGAAGGCAACGGGGCGGGCUGGGGUGAAUUUUUGUGUCCACCCCGAACCUUGAGGCAUCCGCCCCAACCUGACCCCGACUGUUAAAGAAAAAAAUCUGCCCUGAACCCAAACCCUAAAUUCAAUAGGAGACCCGACUCCUACCUAACUCGAAUUUAAUUGUUUUAUUUUUUAUUUUGAAGCAAAUGGAAUUACUUUUUUUUAAUUGUUUUAUUUUUAUUUUGAAGCAAAUAAGAUUAUUUUUUUUGAGUUUAGACUUAAAACUUAAUAUGUAUUUAUUUAUUGAAAGCAAAAACUUAAUAUAUAUCAGUGGCAUUUUUGUAAAUAUCUCGGGGGUGGAUUUACCUCAAACCUGACUAUUUUUUUUCAAAAUUCACCCUACCCAACCUGCCCUGAACCCGAUUUUAAAAAAAAAUCCGAUCCUAAUGGAUCGGGUUGGGUCGGAACCCAUUGGAUUUGGGUUUUUUGCCAUCCCUACAUGUGCAUGGAGUUUUUGUGCACUUCUAUCAUCUAUUUGUGAAUGAUUUUGCAUUGUUUGACAGUGGUUGCAAUGCCCAAUUUCUCAUAAGUCUUAAUUUGCAGUGUGCUGUAUAUAAUAGCUCAAGGUUGCAUCUUAUUGCAGGAAAACUACAUUAAGGAUGCAAUUGGAUCUCCAUUGCUUUCCUCUGACAUUAUGCCGCUCCAUGCAGUUAAGUUUGAUCAGUUUGAGUUUGUGUAUUAGCAUCUUGAAUUUUUUUUGAUUUCAUAGAUUGACAUGCAGCAUCUCUGUUCCUAAGCUAGUAUAAUGAAAUGCAGUAAUUUGUUGUGUGUAUAUUAGUGGAGUAUGAAAUUUCUUAAUCCUGCCAUCAUUUCAAGAUCCUAUCUUAUCUGUAAAUAUUAUACUCAUAGAUUUGUAGUAAAGCUGAAAACCGAGUGUUCCUUUUUCUCGUUGAUAGGAUGCACUUAUUCUAUAGUGGUUGCCUGCAGUUUUAUAGGCAGUAAUUGGUUUUAUGUUGUUUCAACUGAGACCAAAUCUUUAGUAGAUAAUACACCUUACUACAUGCUUCUAGAACAACAUUAGUUUGUUAUCAUCAUUGCUCUCCCUCCACCUUUCUUACCUCUUCAUAAUCCCAUUAUGGUUUACUUAUUCUUACAUAAUAAAAAUUGCAGGUGGUGCUUAGCGAAGAGAUUUUCCAUGGCAUCUAUAACAUGUCAUUUAAAAUAAGCUUGGUCAGACCAGCCCUUGUUUUCAAGGCAAAUUCUAUUCUCGCCUUAUAUUCAGGUUAGGCUGUGUUUUACAAUAUCAUCUUUCAUGCUACAAAUGAAUACAUUGCAACUCAGCCACUCAGAACACUGUUUUGACAAUUAUAGUAUCAGAUUUUUUGGCUGUAUUGCAAUUUUGAUUUCUUUUGAACUAUAUAUCUUCCAUUAGGUCAUAUUUUGAUUUCUUUUGAAAAUAGUCUCAGAUUGCUUGUCCAAGGUUCUGGCUAUUCUCCCAAAUUCAAACUAAAAUUUAUUGUAUUGGAUAUGAUAUAUAAAUAAAGCAUAUAUACUAAUGACAAUUGAGCUGUGCUUGACGCUUAAAUGGUUUGAUCAAGGCUAGCUAGGCUAGGCGCAUUUAAAAGAUAUAGCUUUUCAAGCUCUUUACAGUUGCUGCAUGUAAUAUGGUGUUAGCAAACUAAAAUGUUGUAUUCUCAUGUCUCAUUCUCUGUUAUCGAAUUAUUGAUGGUUGUAGGAAAUUCUAAAUUUGCACAAGGCCUGCAGAUUUACCUUCUGUCAAGGGACCAUUCCUGUUU